rnacentral:lncRNA from 1 species
UCGGUCAAGGUGUUCGACUGGGAUGGAGCGUCUGAACUGGGUGUCCAGUGCUGAUCCUAGUCUUGCCAACGCAUCUGCAUGGGUGUUCUCUGCCCGUGGAACUUGUUGGAUGGUGAAAGUAGGAAAUUCUUUCAGAAGUCCUUGGACUUUGUCGAGGUACUGGAUCAUUCUUGGAUGCUUUGCCAUGUACUCGCCCGAGGCUUGAUUCGUGAUCAGCUGGGAGUCUGAGUAGAUGGCUAAUCUCUUGAUUGUCAGUUUUUUUGCUAGGCGCAGUCCUGCGAACAAUGCCUCAUAUUCUACCUCGUUGUUUGAAGCAGAAAAGCCUAGUGUGAUGGCUUGUUCCAACAAGGUUCCGUCUGGGGUGAUUAUGACGACGCCUGCCCUUGAUCCUUUAUGAUUUAAUGCUCCGUCUACAUGUCAUUGCCACAUGUCGUUAGGUAGGUUUGAAUCGGCAGGGGAGGUGUCGUCUGCUUUUUCCUUACUUUUCGUGACCAUCUUCUCUUCUUCGGCUGUCGGAGUAAACUAUACAACAAAAUCUGCUAAAGCUUGGGCUUUUAUAGCAGUCUUCGGCCGGUAGAGGAGGUCGUAUUGACUGAGUUCGAUAGCCCAUUUCAUGAAUCGCUGAGAAGCGUCGGGGCUGUGGAGGAUCGAUGUCAAAGGAAAUUCUGUCAUGACAAUUAUCCGGUAUGCUUGGUAGUAGGGCCUUAGUUUUCUCGCAGAAACUACAAGCGAAAAAAUGAGCUUCUCCAUUUUCGGAUAGUGAGUCUCUGCAUCGAGGAGAGCUUUUGAAGUGUAGAAUACCGGAUGUUGUGCCCCCAGCUCUUCUCAGAUGAGAACUGAGCUGACAGCUGAGUCGGACACCGCCAGGUAGAUGUACAAGUCUUCGCCUGGUAUCGGUUUUGAGAGUAAGGGAGGUGAAGUGCGGUAGGUUUUCAAGUUUUGAAAAGCUACUUCGCACUCGUCAUCCCACUUGUCCCUGUGUCCUUUCUUCAAGGCUUUGAAAAAUGGCUUGCACUUGUCGGUAGAUCUUGAGAGGAAUCGGUUGAGAGCUGCCGCUCUACCCGUUAGACUUUGUAUCUCCUUUGUUGUGGCAGGUGACCUCAUGUUGAGCAUAGCCUUGAUUUGAUUUGGAUGUGCCUCAAUUCCUCUUUGGGUGACUAAGUAUCCCAGGAAUCGGCCGGACGAGCCUCCAAACGUACAUUUGCUCGGGUUCAACUUCAUGUUGUAUUUUUGGAGUAGGCUGAAUGCCUCGGCAAGGUUCUUGAUGUGGUCUGCUCGCUUGGGAGCUUUGACUAGCAUGUCGUCUACGUAGACCUCCAUAGUCUUGCCGAUUUGCUCCUUGAAAAUUUUGUUCACCAGCCUUCGAUAGGUUGCUCCAGCGUUCUUCAGCCCAAAGGGCAUGACUUUGUAGCAGUAUGUACCUCUUUCGAUGAUGAAAGAGGUUUUAGACUUGUCAUCUUCAUGCAUCAUGAUUUGGUUGUAACCGGAGUAGGCGUCCAUGAAGCUUAGCAGUUGGUUGCCGGAAGUUGAAUUGACGAGCUGAUCAAUUCUAGGCAGUGGAAAGUUGUCUUUAGGGCAUGCCUUGUUGAGGUCGGUGUAGUCGACGCAUACUAUCCACAGACCUUUAUCUUUCUUUGCCACUAGAACAAUGUUCGCCAGCCAUUCUGCGUAAGAGACUUCUUUGAUGAAACCAGCAGCUAGAAGCUUAUCGAUCUCGGCUUCAAUGAUGGCAACCCGCUUGGGAAGAAGUUGCGUCUCUUCUACGCUGCAGGUUUGAUGGCUGGGUUGACGUGUAGGCGAUGGCAGAUGAUCUGGGGAUCGAUGCCAGGCAUGUCGAAUGACGACCAUGCAAAUACGUCUUUGUUGAUCCGGAGGAAGGCUGCAAGCUCUAUCUUUUCCUCAUGGCAUAGGCGCGAGCCGAUCCGCGCUUUUCUCUCUAGCUUGUUAGGAUCAAGGGGUACUAGCUCAACGUCCUCUUCGGGCUUCCAUCCUUCUUCAGGAGAGACCUCCGGACGGAUUCCCUCGACUUGGUCCUGAUUCUUUGAUUGCUAUUGAAGAGUAGCUAUUCCUUUUCCUUUCUGGUCUGCUCGGCCGUCAGGAAUUGGAUCUGCUUUCUCCUCUGCUUGUUCUACUCCCUUUAGAUCUGCCAGAUUUACAGGGAGGAACUGUGUUUGCUUGCCUUUCUUCAGCCCUAGAGCUGAGCAUUUUCUUGCCAUUGCCUGAUCGCUGUUGAUCUGGCCGAUACCGCCCCCAGGGAUUGGGUAGCGAAUCUUUUGAUGUGUGGCAGAGGUGAUGGCGUUGAUCUGGCCGAUCCAUGACCUGCCUAGAAUGCCAUUGUAGGGUGAGAUUUCAUCAAUGACCAUGAACGUUUGCGAGCUGAUUACAGGUGGAGAGUAGACGUCGAAAUCUAUCGUGCCCAUGGUAACCGUCGUUGCGCCAUUGAAAUCAGUCAGCGACUUGGCUGGUUUAUUGAUCUUUGCCUCUAAGCCCAUCUGUUGGACGACUGCCAAUUGUAGAAUACUGGCUGCACUGCUCUCAUCUGCAUGGACUCGGUCGACCAUGGCCUGAGCGAUUUGAAUGCUGAUGACAAGGGCGUCGUUGUGCGGUAGAUCAAGGCCGAUUAAGUCUUUCUUUUGAAAGCCGAUCACGGGAUCGUCUUCUGCCAGUGAGAAGCUAGUUGAGACUUGGGAGAUCAUAGUAGCCUGUUUGAUCUUCCUUUUCUUUUCUUUGUUGGUCAGUCCAGACUCCUCGGAGUCGGCUAGGAUUGUGUUAAUCCUUAUGACCUUCUAGGGUGGCUUCUUGGCGGUAUUACGGUCUUCUAUCUGCUGGAUGGCCUGCUUCGCGAUGAACUCCGUGCAAUGACCUUCUCUCACGAGUUCUUCGAGAUGCGCUUUCCAAGAAAAGUAAUUAUUCGUAUUGUGCCCAUGUGUCGCAUGGAAGGCACAAUAUUUUCUAGUAUCCCUCUUGUCUGGAUCUCCUUUCAAGGGUGGCGGUCUUUUUACCCAAGGUUUGUUCUUCACUUGGGCUAAAAUUUGAUAUAUGGGGAUAGAGAACUUGGUGUAGUUCUCUUUCGUCGUGGCCUCUCUUUGUGGGCGUGACCUGCCUUUGUCUUUGUCCCUGCUGCCAAGCCUGUCGCCUCUUUGUUCUGCCCAUUUGGCCGGUCGAUCUUCCUACUCAGUGGACUUCUUCGCGGUGAUUCGAUCGUCAUCCCAGAGUGCGUAGCGUUUUGCGGUCGCGAAGACCUCUGCCAGAGUCUGGCUGGAAGUGAUAGUCAGCUCGCGGUAUAAGUCAUGUUCUGCUAGAAGACCUUUCUUGAAUGCAGAGGAUGCGAUUUGGUCAUCGCACCCUACGAUGUUGGCCUUUUCUGCUUUGAACCUCUUGAUGUAAUCUCGAAGGGAUUCCUCGGGCUUCUUGCGUAGGUUGAACAGAUGGUCGGGGUUCUUCUUGAUCGUCCGAUAAGAAGUGUAUUCUUUAGUGAAGACAUAAGUAAGCUCCUUGAAGCUGUUGAUCGACCCGGAUGGCAGGGUAUGGAACCAAUCCUGAGCUGCUCCUCACAAAGUCAUUGCAAACACCUUGCACACUAGCGCGUCUUCGGCUUUGUAGAGGAUCAUAAGGCUCUUGAAAUGCUUCAGAUGACUUUCAGGGUCGGAAUCGCCUUUGAAGCAUGUGAAAGAGGGUGUUGAGAAUUUUUUCGGGGGAGCAGCUUGCUCGAUUUUGGCGGUGAAAGGUGAGGAGUUUGCUUGGUCUACCUCAAUGCGUAGUGCAUCUUCGAAAUUUCCGCCAAUCUUUAAGUCUCGAAGUCAGUUAUUCACAAGCUUUUCAACGUUUUCUGCACGCAUGGCUAGUCGAUCACGUUGAUGACCUUCGCAAUUUAGACGACGUUGAUUGUCUUCCUCAUUGGUUUGCGAGGGUCGACCUUCUCGGUUGCGCUGUCUAGGCGGAGUGUUGGUGGACUGUGCUUGCGAGGGAUUUCCAGUAGUUUGGCGACGAGAAUUGGUUCUUCGAGAGGGAGUAGUGGAGCGCCUUUCGUCACGGUCCUCAUUGUGAUGAUUGUCGAGUUGACCUCCCUGGGGGCCUAUCCUUUCGUGAAUAUUUCUCUGUGAGCGGGCAGCGGAGCGCCUUUCUUCUUGAUCCUCGUCUCGAUGACCGUCAGGUUGACCUCCCUGGGCCCAGGCGAGCGUGGAUGUCAGGUCUUGGGCCCAGCCUGUCGCGUACGUUGGUCCUUAAAUUCAAUAUGGAUGGGAAACUUCGUCUGCUCGGAGUGUGGCUUACGGAUGCUUGCGACAUGUCCUCGAGCUGAUCUCGUUGUUGCGCAUUUCCUUGUCUACUUACUCCUACUCGACCUGCUUGGUUCCCACCGAACUGCCUAUUGGCGCGUUCGUUUAUCCUUCUCUCUUCGCCCUGUUGUCCAAGGCCAAGGUUUUGAGCCAAGUUUAUUUGAUUGAGGAAUUGCUUCAUCAAAUUGUUUUGGUCGUCCAUUCUCUGAGUUAGCUGGUCAACUCUCAGAUUAAGGUCUACUUGACUUCGUGGAUCGGGAGGAGAGAAAUGUGUAGAGCCCAAUUGCACACGGGCUAGGUUUUCGUUGGAUGUGUGCGUGGGAGCAUGCGUCGAGCGUGGAGGCAAUGGAGUGAAUGGUUGAAGUUGCUCCAAGAUUGGGCCAAAGUCGGCGGUGGUAGUGAGCCCAACUGGAUGUGAGGUUCCACCAUGCUCAACGGUAGUGCUAUGAAGGUGGCUAGGUCCGGCCAUGGGGCCUUGAGAUGGUACGACGGCGGCGGAGGCCGGUGCAGUGGUUCCAGUCACAUGGGGUGGCUCCUAAGGGUUCAUGGCGGCGAGAGGUGGUGGAGCCGCCAUGUCGAUCGUGGGAUCGUGGGAGGAGUAGCUUUGGGCUGUCACGGAUUGAGCCAUAGCGGCGGUUUUGCUCCUCGUGCCGCUUGCUUCCAACCAUGGUUGUUUGGAAGGCUUCGGUGGAUUGGAAAAUAGGAGGAACGGAUUCCUUGAGCACGCGUUGAGUAUAACUCGCGCUCUCAAUGAAAGCACCAAAUAUUUGUGCAAAUAAUCUCACGGGAGAAUAUUCGCUUCUAGAUCCUUCAACCUUCGAUCUCCCUUCUUUCUCUUCCUCAAUUCCUGUAAAAAAGACUGGAGUAAAUAGACCACACCCGGGGGGUGUUGGCCAAAGGCCCUCCGAUGCCUAAGUUAGUUCGAGUGUUUGUAGGAAAAUAAUAGCUAAGCAAAGGGUACGGAGUUUUAUGUAGGGUGUAAACCGGGUGGCCGGAGCCGUGGGGAGGAAAUAUGGAGAGUGGAGAGGGAGAGAGAGCUUCAGGUAUUUUUCUCGGGUAUAAGGAGUAGGUUUAGAUGUACCUUGAAUGAUGAAUAAGGUUGUCUAUUUAUAGGAGCCUCAGGGCUAGGGUUUCGUAGGAAUUGAGUUGGGCCUGAUAAUAUCUGAAUUAAAUGAUAUUAUCUCUUAAAAAGAUAAUAUCUAAAUUAAAUGAUAUUAUCUUCUCUUUAUUAGGAUAAUAUCUUAAUUAAUGAUAUUAUCUCUUUAAAUAAAGAUAAUAUCAUAUUAAUUAAGAUAUUUAUCUCAAUUAAUUAAUUAGCCAGAUAAACUGGUUUAAUUAAUUAAUUUAAGAUAUAAUCUUCUUUUCCACGUGGCGUGCCCUGAUUGGAGACGAAAAUAUAUGCUCCCACAAUAACUAUAGUUAACUAUUACUUUAUAUUUGUGGAACCAUGGUUAUGUCCAUGAACACGUGUUCGAGUGUUGGUUGCGGUACAGUUACCGCGAUUUUUUGGCCAAACCGCAAACUGACCGACUAUUUGAUGUUUGGUCUUUUUUGAAGUCGCAAACCGACUGCGUUUUGCGGUUAACCGCAUCGUGGUAAAGCUGCAAUUUCGAUUGGUUACCUUGAAUUAACGGUUUAAACCGAUUGGGACAUUUUGGACCUAAAUUAGACAGUUUUAGGUCUUUUAAGUUGGGUCUUUUUGUGUCAUAAAAAUUCAGUCUUCCAUACUUUCGUAGGCCUAGUUUUGAAGCUUCUUUUGAAGCCUUUUGAGUUCAAGCGUACUUUACAAAUUUAAGCAAAUAAACUCACAACCUAAACAAAUAAAUUUAAACCCAAGAAAAUAAUGUUAAAAUUUAGUUACAACCCAAAAGAAAAAUGCAAAAUGCAAUGCAAACUUAAUUAAAGUUACAACCUAAAAGAAAAAUGCAAUGCAAAAUUAAUUAAAGUUACAACCCAAAGGAAAAAUCCAAUUCAAAAUUAAUUAAAGUUACAAACCAAAAGAAAAAUGCAAUUCAAAUUUAUGGGCACCAAUACAACCCAAAAGAGAACUCAAGUGUUGGUGGUGGUGAGUGGAUUUGAAGGACCCGAUUGCGAUGUAUGAGCACCAAUUCUAUCUAUAAAUAAAACAACACAAGUAUAGUACAUUUUAGUAUAAGAAGAAGCAUAAAUAACAUGAACAUAUAUAAACUAAUUCUUACAAGUUGUAAUAUGUUCCAUUUCCUUGUAGAAUUCAACCUCAUCAUCCGUGGGUUCCUUAUAAAAGGAAAAUUCGUCUGCCCUAAGCUAAUCACAAGUACAAACUAAUGCCUUUACCAUUUUAGGAUGCAAGGAGGUUCUAAAAGGAUCCACAAUCUUCUUGCCUAGACUAAAAGCAUUUUCACUAGCAACCGUAGAACUUGAAAUUGCAAAGAUAUCCUUGGCAACUUGUGAAAGAAUUGGAUAUCUUGUUUGGUUCCCUUUCCACCAAUUCAAGAGAUUAAAUUGUUUGCUCAAAGGACUCUCAAAAGGAUUUGUCAAGUACUUAUCCACUUCAUUGGAUAACUCAACGUAUUGCUCAUCCUUCCUUUUUUGCACAAAUUGUUGCAUUAGUUGAAAUGUGACAUCAACAUUGUCACCAAUUUGUGCAACCUCAUCAUCAACAUUAUCCUCAUCAAUUUGGCUUACAACACCCCCAACCCCUUUAUACUCAUUAUGCAAUUCAUUCAAAUACUUUACAACCUUCUUAACAAUCUCAUCUUGCUUUCUAGCAUCCACCUCAAGAUUGCCAAAGCUUAUUUGAAGCAUUUGAAGCUUCAUCUUUGGGUCUAGCACAUUGCCCAAAAAUAUAAGCUUAUUCACAACCUCAAAGCUCCCCCAAUAUUUUUCAAAUUUCAACUUCAUUGAAGAUGCUACCCGUUGCAUAGUAGGAUUUCUAGGAUCCUUCAUUUUUUCUUCUAUUUGAACUUGUAAUGCAACCAAUUCUAGGAAAAUUAUUGGGGAUGUACAAGUUUUGGUUGCACUACACUUCAAUGUAGCAUCAUAAAUUUUUUUUGAGAAAAUGCACAAAAGCUAAUGCCUUCUCCCAGUCAUCAUCUUUUGGAGGUCCCACUCUCUUAACCAUCACUUUCUUAACUUUUUCUUCCUCUAGAAAGUAAGCUUGAAACACUUCACAAGAAUAUGUCAUCUUGUCAAAGACUUGCCUAUACUUGAAUGCACCUUCAAGCAUUUUAUAGGUUGCAUUCCACCUUGUAGGCACAUCCAUUAGCGCAUUUGCCAUCGUGUCCAUCCUACAUGCAAUGGCAAACUCUCUAAACUUAUCCAACCUCGUCGGAGAAGAGUGAAUAAACUUCACACAAUUUCAUAUACCCUCAAUUGAGGCACUAAGCUCCUUCAAUCCAUCCUUAACAAUUAAAUUAAGAAUAUGACAAGUACACCUCAAGUGCAAGUACUUCCCAUCCAACAUUAAGGUGUUCAUUGCCUUUAGGCUUUGUGCCAUGUACUCAACCGCCCCCAUCAUUGGCGGAAGCAUUAUCAACGGCAAUUGUGAACACUUUGUAUAUAGCCCAAUCCAUCAAACAUGCAUUUAGGGUUUUCCCUGUGUCAAUGCCCUUAUGACUAGGAUCUUUGUGAAAUUAUUUUUUUGUGCAAGUUCCGAUCACUAUCCAUGAAGUGGAUCGUCACAACCAUCUAAUUUAUGUUUUGGAUCGAUGUCCAAGUAUUGGUUGCGAUACUAACUCUUUGCUCACCAAUCACACUUAUUAUCUUUGCCUUUUCAACCAUGAAUAACUCCCACACCCCCUCGGCAACCUUCUUCCUACUUGGUACCUUCAAACGAGGUUGCACCUCGUACAUCAUUUCCUUAAAACCCGAGCCCUCAACGACUCUAAAAGGAUGCUCAUCCUUAAUGAUGAACUUCACAACCUUUAACUCACUUUUUUUUUUUAUUGAAUGUGUGAGGGACUAAUUCACUACCCAUUGUAUCUGUUGUCAAGGAAGGUGAUGCAGAUAAAAAGCCAUUAAAGUUUAUGGGGCAUUUGAAUCAAAAGCAUUAAUAAGUUCAAUGCAUGAACGUUUUGUUUUGGCUUCUAAUAAAUUCCAUGUAUUUGGAAUGAAAUAGCUAGAGUUGUAAUUAUUUGGAUGGGGCUUAAUGUAUCUAGAUUAAUGGGUUAAUUAAUUUAGGUGCUAGUUCAAUGUAUGCGAUGAGAGAUUAAGUCUUUAAAAACUUGUAUGCUCAUAUUUCUCAAGGGGGUGGGGGUUGUUGAUAGUUGAAAUUGAAAACAAAGAGAGUGUUCUCUCAUCUUUGCUCAUAAUCUGGGUAUUCUUAGAAUUAACGGGUUUGAGUAUUUUGUUCUAUCUUUUAUGUCAAGUUUUGGGUAUUCUUAGAAUAAACAGGGCUUGGUGGUUCAUGGUUCGUAUUUUCCAACAUCCUUGCUCGAGUGCCGCUGCAUCAAAAGGUUGAUUUGCAUCACCUUGUUGUUGAUAGAGAUGAGAGAGCUUGCAUCUCCUCUCUAUGUGAUUUUUUAAACCCGUUGUCCCUUUUUUUUUAGGGUCCGCCGACAUCUCCACUUUGCAAUAAUUGCGAACCCCUAUAAUCUUCUCUACCCCAUUACCAUCCUUCUUUAUUUGUUUUGUGCAAUGUAAAAACACAAUUGACUUUGGGGCUUUCCUCCCAUCUCCCACCACAAGCCCCUCAUGUGUGGGAUUUUGUGUUUAAGUUGAAGGUUGUGUUUUGAGUGUUUCGGUUUGUGUUUAGAGAUUAGAGGCAUUAAGUGUGUUAGAGUGGCUAGACUACAUCUAUAAAACACAACACAACACAACAAGAACAACAUAAACGCAUAUUAAUAACAGAUUAAACACAACCAAAUUAAAACAUAAAACAGCAAAUUAAACUUUUUAAAAAAAAAAACAGGAAUCAAAUAUUUAAGUUAUAAUAUUUAACUCAAUUCAACAAUUUAAUUCAACUCAAUUACACCCUAAAAAAUGUAAGCAUUAUCAAAUUAAACCUCCAAAACACAACCAAAUUAAACUAAAAAACCAAAAAGCAAAUCAAUUCAAAGACAAAAAAACAGAAUCCAAAACAUAAUACUCCCAAACCUCCAAAAACACAAUUUAAUUAACAUACAAAACACAUUAUUUAGAUUUACCUCCGAAAAAACAGAUAGCAAAUGAUCCAGGCUUAGCAAUCACUCCAAAACCUCCAAACCAAACCCAGCUCAGCAGCAAUCCCUGCCAAAAAUCAAAUAUGUCACCAGAAAAUCUUAGAGAACCUGCAUUUAGCCAUAAAUCGAAACCUUAUUAUUCCCAAUUCCAUUCAAAAUUCGAAACCCUGAUUUUGAAACCCUCAAUUUCAGAAAUUAAGCUUACCUGAUUGAUAUCUCCAAAUCGACUAUGACUAAUCACGGUGGAGAGGUUGAGUGAGAAAGGCGGCGCCGGCAAGGUUGACUGGAGGCAGGCUUGAGAGAGGUUGAGAGCGGCUGAGGUUUAGGGUGAGAGUGGUGGUGGGUUUGAGUUGAGAUAGAGAUUGAGUUGAGAAAGGCUGAGUUUGAGUGAGAGUGGUGGAGGUUAAGUUGAGACAGAGAUCAAAUUGAGUUGAGAGAGAAGAGAACUGAGAUCGAGAGAGGAGAGAGUUUAGUUGAGUCUAAGAUAGAGAGAGAGCUAAGAUUGAGAGUUGAGAGAGAGAUAGAAAGAGACGAAUGAGUGAUUGUAAGAGAGAGAGAAAGAGGCUUAGGUAUGAUCGUAGCCGUAGGACGAAUGAGUAAUUAAAAACAGUUUGCGGUUGCGGUUGCGGUUACCCCAAGUUUGGUAUUUUCCAAACCGCAACCACAACCGGAAUUGCGGGUCGAUUCCUCAAACCUCAAAUUGCAAUCAGUUUUCUCGCACAUUCUAUUCAAAUGCGGUAAUAUCUUGGUUGGUUUUUGUGGUUUUUGAGUCUAAAAUGCCACCCCUAACGUGUUCACUAAUCUACAUCUUCUCUACCAAAUCUUGUACAAAGGUAUAAUUUGCAUAUGCAUAUUUGGCAACCACUUGCACCACUCGUUUUCUUUUUAUUAUGUCACCUCAAGAUUUUAAAUCUCCAAAUGGACGAGUCAAAAAUUAAGGCAAUUUUUCCUUGAAGGUUUCCACAAAGUAAAUUUUGUCUUGUUGAAAUGUUGAAGUUUUCUAGGCAUUUGCUUAACCAUUUGUCUCAUCGUUUAGAGUGACAAAUUUUUAAUAAGGUAAAUUUUGAAAGCAAUGAUGAGCAUGAAAUGAGAUUUAGUAAAAUAAAUCAAAUUUCUCCAACCUUUUUUUUAGUGCGGCUAAACGAACCCUGAAAUUAACUGAGUACACCCUAUGAUCUAAGUACACUCUAAUAUUUUUUAAUCAAAAUAUAAAAUUAACUGAGUACACCUUAUUUAACUACCAAAAAUACCCCUUGUACACCCUAAUACACUCUAUUACACAACACCCUAAUACCAAUCCUAAACUAGGUUUAUCUUUUGACAUGAAUUCGUGCCCUCUUUUUAAAAUUUGGGUUUGCUUCAAAAUCUUAUUAAUUUCAUAAGCUGUUGUGGGGGUAGAUGAUAAGGUCAUAAUUUCACACAUUUGCAUGCCUUCUUUGCUUAGUAAUUUUGUUUAGCUUCUCUUUAUUUUGAGUCUCUUACAUAUGUUUGUGUGUUUUGUAGGUUAAGACAGCAAGGGGAUGACAUUUGAUACAAUUCAUGCAUGUUAAGGGCUGAGUGGCACAAGAGGAAUAUGAGCUUAAAGACAAAACCAAUUUGAGCCACACUCCUUGUCAGUCCAGUUUCGUAGGUCAUCUUGCAGGCCUCAUUUCAACAACUUACACAGGUCGGAUGAGGAGACAUCCUUGAUAGAAGUUGUUCCAAUGGGUGUUUAUUAUAACAUAUCAAAAUUUCAGCCCAAUUGGAUAUAUCUGGAGCCCUCAACACGUCAAAGACUGAACCAAGUCCACAGAAAUAUCAUGUUGGCUGCCAUCACAUUUAAUGUGGCUACAUCCCUAGAGCCAUGUGCUACACAUGGGCAGCCACACAUGGGAGUCAAAUCAGCUCAGAAGCUCAGAAAGAUGAACAAAUGUCAAGCUUUCCAUAAAGAAACCAUACCAAAGCAUGUAUUUGUCAGCUGGAGCAGUUGGCAAGUAUGGGCAGCUGGAGCAGUUGGGAGCAGCUAAGAAAGGUGUGCUUCACCAGCCAAAGGGGAGGACGAAAUUGCACUCUAUAAAUAGAGAGUUGCACACUCAUUCAAGAGAAGGGAGUCAGACACACACAUUCACUUCAUCCAUUACUCUCAUACACACAUUCAGAUUCACCACAAAGAGAGAAGGGAGCUUGGUGCUGUCAAGGGAGCUUGGAGCUGUCCUGGGAACUUCCUUGCUGCCAUCAUCUAGUUCUUCUCCUCUCUUUAUCCUAUCUAUGUAUUCCUUAUUUUCUGUAUUCAUAGUUAUGUCUAACUAAUCCAUUUAGUUAAGGCUUAGGAUGAAGCCCUAGUCAUGAAUAUUCAAUGUUAUGGAUGAUUUUAUAGUUAAUUGAUUUCCUUGCUUUUAUUAUCAAGUUGUUAAUCUCCAGUUUAUUAUGUGCUUAAUGUAUGUUUUCUUGGAGUAGCUAAAUAGGAUUUUAUGCAUCUAGCACAGGUUGGGAAGGGGUUUAGAUUCACCAAUUCUACUCUCCUUUCACAAGCAACACAUGAAUGGCCUAAGAAUCAUUCAAGGGGUUAAUAACCAUAGGUUGACUAAGACAGAUACCAAGUUCUAGGACUUGUGUGAUUAUCAUAUUCUCAAGGAGCUUAAUGACUCUUGUAUGCUUUAUUCUAAUUAGAUACCAUGCUUAGGUUGCAUAUUAGAGAUCACGUGUUGUGUAGAUACCAUGCAUAAUCACAUGCCUUAGGAGAAUCAUGCAUCCUGUACCUAGAUACCAUAGGCUUGUAUGCGAUAAUCUAUUGUUGAUGAAGCUUGAGUCAAUUUCUAUGCAUUCAUAACUUGGAUAGGAAAACUAGUGGUGGAUUCCAAGGCUCUAACAUCUCUCAAUUAUUGCUUCACAAUCUGUUGAUUGCUGCCAGUGUUUACUUUCGAGCACUUUUAUUUCACUUUCUUCUUUUCGUUUCAACAACAAUACCCCCCAUUUCGAGUGCAUGUUUGGUGCUAGGAUUCUGUCCUAAACCUUGAGUAAUUAGCAAGAGGCAUUGUUGAAUUCGACCUUGCCUUUAGCUAGUUAGUCAGUUUCUUUGUUCUAUUUUUUUCUAGCAUUCUAAGUAAUUUACUUGGAGCCAAGUUACCAUUCUCCGUGGGAUCGACCUCGUAUUUACGUAAGCUAUACUAUAAACGGUUCGUGCACUUGCGAGAAUCAAAGUUGCUGUUUUUAAUAACUCAUUUUAAUUGUUAAGAAUUGGCUCAACAGUAGAUUUGCUAGCUCCUUCAAUUCAAAGCUUGAUUCUUGUAAAUCCUUUUGAUUUUCUUUGAAAUAUGUGGAGGGGACUCAAACAUCUCUGUCAAAUUACUAGUGAAAUGCAUCAUCACCAAUCCGAAAUCCUUGAGAAUUUUGGAUGCUCCUAAGUUAGAAGAAAAGUUUAAACCCUAGGAUUUUAAAGUCAUCCACUUCAACUUUAUUGUGUGGACGAUGUUGAGCUAAGAAGUCAGACGAAACAAACUUUUUCAUUCAAAUAUGGCUGCCCAUCUUUUGCAUUAGGAAGAAUCAAGUACAUGGAGAAAUGCCAACACUUGUCUUUUGCUGUGUUUGUAAGAAGCUCUAAGCCUUUGAAGCAUCAAAGACCCUUAAAAUUAUACGAAAAAUUCUCUAUGUUUGAUUAGGGUUGAAUAUGGUGAGUAGGGUGUACUUAUUAAAAUUAUAUUUGUUUCAUAAUUCUAUAUAUUCUUUUUGGUCAUUUUAUAUUAUGGUAAAUUAGUAAUUCAAUAAAUACUUUGGUAGUUGGGUAUAGUUAGUUAAUUUUAGAGUUCAUUUAAUAGCACUCCUUUUUUUUCUUUUUAAAAUUCAAAAAGGGCUGUGACUUGAUAACGGAAGAAUGGUAAGGUAAGUAGAGCCUACAGAAUAUUCACCUAAUUCAUCGUCUAUUAAUAAUAUACUGAAUGACAGCUUUAAAGCAUUAUAUUAUUAUAUCAUAAUUAUCAUGAUGGAACCAAAAAAGCAUGAUCUUGAUCACAAUGAAAUUUUUAAGUGUUGAGUUUAGUCCAAUCAAUUUGCAAUGUACACAAUUUAGGUUUGCAUAUUCACUUAUCAGGAAUAUAUUCUAAUCUCUGCUUAUGUGUUUAUUAGCUAAUACUAUUAAAAUUAUUCCAAAGAAUUAUGUGAAUUUUACAUUAAAAUACAUAAUUUAAUGACUAUAAAACCCUAGCCCCCUUUCUCCCAAAAAACACUCUUAGAGCCUUUUUCACCUUGAGGGGGGAAGAAGCCAUUGUUCUUCCCCCCUCUCCUCUCUUCUCUUCCUUUCUUCCUCCUUUCACCUCUUCCCCCAUUUUCAAAGACAAAGGGUUUUCCCUAUUUGUAUUAGUUUUAUUAUGAUUUGCAUCCAACCAUUAUUGGCGGCUGCGGCUCAGCGUCGGAUCUUCACCUGCAUUUCGGCGUCAGAUCUCCACCACCAUCUUUUUUGCAAUUUCUUUAUGUUUGGAAUAAGUUGCAGAGACUCUUUGGGUUCUCUGUGUAGUUUUCACCUCUCCUUUUGUGAGAGCUUUUCAUCUCUCCUUUGUGAGAGCUUUUCAUCUCUCCUUGGUGAGAGUUUUAUUUGUAUUGUUAUGGCUUGGUUUUUUCAAACUUUAUCUCUUUUUUAUUAUUCUAAGUUUGCAAUCUUAAUUGGGAUGCCUAUGCCAGAGUUUCUUCGAUCUUGCCUGAUCGUUGGUGGAGACAUACCUGAUUUUCUUAAUUUUGAUAUUAGACCGCUCCGUUAUUGUAAUGGCCUUUUUGUGGCUAGUUUGUAUUGGCCCUUUGUGGCUAGUGGCUUUUUUGGCUGAAUUAUGAAUACAAUCAUAGAAUUUCUCAAAAAAAAAAAAAAAAUCUCUAGAAUAUAGCUCAGUUUUUUUUCAUACUUAUUUCUCUUUUUAUCAAUAAAAUAUUAUCGCCUUUUGCAUUAAAAAAAAAAAAAAAUGAAAUAAACUAGGGAAUGGUUGAUCUAACUUCAAUUCAUUUCUUUAUUAUUAGAUUUCUCGAUUCAUGACUUGCUCCGUUGUUAAUAAAUAAACAUGCCCCGAGUGAAGCGAAUCAUAUAUAUCUCAGAUGAUGGAAUCUUUUGAGUCAGAAGCACGCAACACUAGCUGACGCUGUUCCUCCUCACCAACAACCAAACAAAUCCAGAUAAUCUCAAAAUAUUGAAAGUCCACGUCAUCACACACACUGCCUGACACACAUGGAUUCAGUUUAACACAUCCACUUUCUCACUGAAACUCAGAAAACCCGUUUUCACAUUUCGUCUUCUUCUCCAACAUUUUCUCUGCCUUUUGGUCUCUUUGAGAAUCAGCCAUGGCAUUGCAGAGGCAGUUCUUAAAGAAAGCUCUAGGGGAAGCCAAGACCAAGAUUGGUGGCUACCAUUUUCGUCACAGGCCGUCUCUCUGCGGUUCUUUCUCUACGGUUCCUUCUUCUGCUGCUGGUGCUGGUGCUGAUCAUGAGGCUUCUCUGCCUUUGCUGCCGCCGUUUGAUUACGAGCCAAAGCCUUACAGUGGACCUCGGGGCGAUGAGGUCUUCCAGAAGCGAAAGAAGUUUCUGGGUCCUUCUCUUUUCCAUUAUUAUCAGAACCCUGUAUGUUUGUUUAUCCCUACACUUUCUUUAACCAUUUGGAUUAAAUGCCGCAUUUUUCUGUUUUGGUUGAAAUCAUUUGCGAUAACUUGUUUGUUUCUCUGUUCUUGGGCUUCAAUCUCUCCGGCAGUUUGGCUGCUGAGAAACCAGAGGAAAAUGUAAUCAAACAGUAUUUUCAUGGGAAAAUUUUAAAAGGAACUGCCUAUAAUAUAGAACAUAGUAUAAUUCCUUUUUUUUAGUCAAGACUUGGUACCUUUCAAUUUGACCUUGAAUUUCAGGACCCAUUUAUAUUGUGUUACAUGUAUGUUCAUUUGAAUUCAUUAUGCACUUUCUCUGUGGCUGGUUCGUUUUAUCGUUUGAAAGAGGCUUUACAAUGGCUCUGUCUGGUAAAAUAAAGAAUCAUGUUACUUCUCUUGCCAUGCACCAAUCAAUAAGAAGUGAAAUUUGAGUGACUUUUGACAUUUAGCCGAACUCUUUCAAUCUUGUAUUAUUGGUAAAACUGCUUGCCGAGCAAUUAUUCAGUCAAGUUUUGUGGUAGAGUCUUAUGUUGCAUGUAUUUCGUCGUCGAAAAAUUCUGGUUCCAAAGCAUAAGGGUGAUCCUAUAUGAUUUAUUGCCUUUGCUCAACACCACCAGUUUAUUUGCUAGUGAACGGAAAUUAUUGUCUCCCCGCCUGUAUGAUGUUGCAUUUGCUUUUGUGCUACCGGAUGUCCACUGAUAUAUUAACACAGUUUAUGCAGAAACUGAUUUCUUUGUUUUAUUUAUCGUUGUGUAAACAGCUCAAUAUUGUUGAAGGGAAGAUGCAAUAUUUGUUCGAUGAGAAUGGCAGGCGCUACCUUGAUGCUUUUGCUGGGAUAGUAACUGUUUCUUGUGGACAUUGCCAUCCGGAAGUUUUAAAUGCUAUCAUGGAGCAGAGCAAGCUUCUGCAGCAUGCCACAACCAUUUACCUGCACCAUGCAAUAGCUGAUUUUGCCGAGGCAUUAGCUUCAAAAAUGCCUGGAAAUUUAAAGGUUCAAGUUCUUCAAACUAGAUUUCCAGACAAUUUCUGACACUAAAUUUUAUUUUUUCUUAAUGGCAGACAAUUAUAUAUUUGUUUAAUUACAGGCUGCGUAAGCUAUUAUAUUUUAGCCUUCCCUUUGAAAUGUUAAGUAAUAGUACUGAAUAGAGCAACAGUGUUAUGGUUUAUCUGGUUUCAAAACUUGAGAUACUUCUCAAUUACUGUAAGGACAGAAGACUUCUGGGACUCUGGUGUAAUCCAUUUUAUGUGCUUCAUUUAUCACCUUCUUUUUUUUUAUACUUGCCAACUACUGAAUAGACAGUUGUAAAAUGCAGGUUGUUUACUUUGUGAAUUCUGGGACAGAAGCAAAUGAAUUAGCAAUGUUGAUGGCUCGUCUAUAUAGUGGCAGUCUUGAUAUGAUUUCAUUGAGAAAUGCAUAUCAUGGGGGAAGUUCUAAUACAAUUGGUUUGACCGCCUUGAACACAUGGAAGUAUCCAAUUCCACAGGUUUGUACAAUCAGUAGUCAGUAUAGCUCCAAAGAUCCAUCUUCUGGCAUGCUAUGUUUAGAAUACAUCCAAAUUUGAUAUGUCAUUACUUUUAUAGAGAAACUCGGGAGAACCAGAGUUCCAUUUCCAGAGAGGUAGGCAAGGUGAUCCGUUAACCAGUUUAUCACAUUUUAAUUACAAUAACAUCUAAAUUAUUAGUGUUCCAACAUGUUACCUGUGAUAUGCGUCUACACUGUUCAAUUUGGUCUCUUGAUGUAAACCAGGGUUAUGGAAGAAUUGUUUCUUAUCUUUCUGACAUAAUUUAUGGUAUUGCAGGCACAAUAUUCUCAAAAUAAAAAUUCUAAAAAAUGUUAAUAAGACUAAAUUUAAUUAAGUUAUUUUUUUCCAUUAUGAUUAAUAGUAGUUAUAAAUACCUAUGGUAGGAAGUUCUUUCUAGAUAAUGUCGUAUCAUCGCAAACUUUCUACUCUAUGACGAGAUUGUUUGUAACUCAUUCUAACAUAGUAAAGCAUGCAUAUCCAGUGCACAUUGAUCAAUUCAUACCCUUGCCGAGUCUUCAGUCUUUGGCUCAUUACUAUUUUUUCAGUGUCACCAAUAUAAAGUUACACAAUAAUCAUACAUGAACACUAUUGAGACACCAACUUCUCAUCUACUUACUACUUGCUUUAUCAUUGCAGGGUGAAAUUCAUCACGUUGUAAAUCCAGAUCCAUACCAUGGAAUCUUUGGCCCGGAUGCCAAAAGUUAUGCUAAAGAUGUACAAGAUCACAUUGAUUAUGGAACUUCAGGAAAAGUUGCUGGAUUUAUAUCUGAAACAAUUCAGGUUGGUACUGAAUGUUGUUUCAGAUGUGGCUUUAAAUUGGUACAUAUAACGCCCUGUGCUUAGGUUAAUUUUUUCGCAUUAUCUAACUGUAGGGAGUUGGAGGAGCAGUUGAAUUGGCACCUGGAUAUUUAAAACUGGUUUAUGACAUUGUUCGCAAAGCUGGUGGUGUCUGCAUUGCUGAUGAAGUACAAACUGGGUUUGGGCGCACAGGAAGCCAUUAUUGGGGCUUUGAAACGCAGGGUGUCAUUCCUGAUAUAGUUACCAUGGCUAAGGUCUUUAAAUAUCAAUUGAUAGUUUGUAUUUUAUUCUGGAAAAGUUUGACUUAUGUGGUUUGGUGUUACAUUGCAUAUUUUCAUUGCCAGCCUUUUCCUAUAGAUGACUUUGAUUUUCGUGAAACACAAUAACUUAUUUACUCAACUAUUUACCAAUUUAUUCGUUUGUUAAAAUUUCAGGGCAUUGGAAACGGGUUGCCAUUGGGAGCAGUGGUGACAACACCAGAAAUAGCAAGUGUACUAGCCCAGAAGAUUCAAUUCAACACUUUUGGUGGAAACCCUGUAUGCUCUGCUGGAGGGCUUGCAGUGCUCAGAGUUAUUGAUAAAGAGAAGCGUCAAGUUCAUUGCGCUGAUGUUGGCUCUCACUUGCUUGGGCGUUUGAGAGAUCUUCAGCAAAGAUAUGAAAGUAACUACCCUUUGAACUCGAUGUCUUUAGAAUUCUCUCUAUUAUAGGCAUGUAUCUCUGGAAUUUAAAUAUUUAUCUAUAGCCCAUGUCAUGGCCCCUUGUUAAUGGGGAAAUCAGCUUUGCCAGUUUUUUAUAUUUUUGAAUGUGAGCAAAGCUUACGCUGUAGUAGCACACAGAACUACUCUAAGUUAUGUAUCAUGAUACCUUUACUCCUUCUGGUAUGAUUCGCUACUUAAAAAUGUUUAAAAUGACAGAAAGUUGGUCUUCCACCAACAUUAUAUUCCAAAAGAUGGAGUUACUCUUUUCCUUUAAUUUCCCUACAUAUAGUUGGCUAACCUCAUUAGAGGUUUAUUGUGCUUAGACUUGAUUCUAUUGCCUCGCUCUAUACUCCGCCUUGUAGAAUCAGUUGAGUCCUAACUGAUUGUUUGCAAUUUGGCGCUCCUCUUUCUGGUGCCGUACUUUGGUCUCUGAAUCUGUCAAAUAUUACCGCGAGUGUUCUUAUAUAUUAUAUUCUGUGUCAGUCGUUGGAGAUGUCAGAGGCCGAGGCUUAAUGGUGGGGAUAGAGCUUGUCACUGACAGGAAAGAGAAGAAGCCUGCAAAGGCAGAAACCACAGUUUUGUUCGAGAAACUCAGAGGUAUCAACACACUCUCCCAGCUCAUAGUAUAUAUUCUUUCAAUGAUCCUAAGUUAAAUUACAUUUAUCUCCAUGAAUUCCUUUCUACACACUAAUCAUAAUUUGGUCAUUGAUUGAAGAGCUCGGAGUUCUAGUUGGCAAAGGGGGACUACAUGGAAAUGUUUUUAGGAUAAAGCCACCGAUGUGUUUUACCAAAGAUGAUGCAGGUACUUUUUAUGUCUUAGGCUUGGUAUGAAUUAGCCCAAAUGGUAACUGGAAAUCAUUCUAUGAGCUGAGAGACAACAGCCUAAUCAACACAAGACGUCAAACACAUAUUAUGUAUACAUGUGAAUAUAAUAAUUAUUUUCCCCCUCCCCACUCCAAGUGCACCCGGGUUCGAUUCACGUAGAAGACAAUCUUGAGGCAACCCAAUAUAUACUCCCCCCUCCCCUUCCCUAGCGAAUGACAACCAAAAAUAAAAAAAAUAAUUAUUUUCUAAAAGUUCCAUAACUUCUGUCCCGAAGAUGGUCCUUCAAUGAAGACAUGUUUUUCAACCGUUACACAUGAAUGGUUGAUAUGCAUAUUUACUGUGAGCGUGCAUUUGGGUGUGCGCGUGUGGUGACGUAUAACAGAUGAAAUAAUUGUUUUUGGGUUGUGUUUUUUCGGUUGAGAUACAUGCUGAGGUUAAACUUUUAUGUCUGCAGAUUUUCUUGUCGAUGCUUUGGACUACUCCAUGUCCAAGUUGUGAGGGCUAAUACAUGAAGAACCAAAUGAUAUUGCGGUUUGUAAAGAACUUUCAAUAAUGUAAAGUUAAAUUCCUAGAGUUUGGUGCUCAUUUUACAUGAGAAAUAGCAGCUUCCGUUGGAUGAAAUCGAUCCAUGUACGGCGAGUGAGGAUGCCAAUCUGUGCACCAAAAUGGAUUCCGCUAGCUUAUCAUUAGAGGCCAUUAAGAGAGCGAGAUAAGGGGGGUGGGGGAGCAUCACAACUUUGAAUUUUGGUUUAUCAGGUUCAUAUUUGCAAUUCAAGUACUCCAACACUCACAUGGAAGAGGGACUGCCAACCUACAUGAGAAUAUUUUUGAGUUCUGGAUUUUCUUCCUCCAAAAUGUCACCUUAAAGUGGAAAAGUGUUGAAUAGAGAGCCAACCAACAUUCUGUAAAUAAGAAAGAAAAAUUGUCAGUGCUGCGUAUGUUAUUUUCAACACUCACAAACCUCAUGAUCCAAAGAGGGUUGUUAAAAUUACAUUCCAAAUAGCUUUUCAAUUCUUACAGCUAAAGUUAUAAAUAAUUAUAAGUAACCCCAACGAUUAUAACUUAAGGGGCCUCUAGAUACGCUAGACGGAUGUAAAGGAUGUCAUUUUACGACUUCGAAAUUUUUUCUCAUAAAAAACGCAGCAUGAAAAAGUAAGCUCAAUCUGAUAAAUUUAGCAAUGAAACAGUUGGAGUUGGCUCGCAGCAAAGACUCUGUUCAUGAAGUCAAAAACAGCCUUGCAGCCGAAACAUGCAUAUAGCAAGCUCCGGCAGUCGGAGCUUCCAUGCCACUUCUGGUUAAAUAUUGCAGUGAUCCUAUAACAGGAGCUCAGCUCACAGCUCUGAUUGUAAUAAGUAAAAACUAUCUUUGUUGAAGUCUGCAGUGCUCUCUGAAAAGUUCAAAGACAGACCUGAAAAUGAGCAUAUCCCAUACAUACCAAAAUGUCUUAUUUUAACUUUUCCAGAACAAGACUGUCCAUCUUCAAAGCACAAUGAUACCCUCACUACAAAUGUACCUGACCCAUUUGAAAUAUAGAGAAACCCUCAAACAAACAUUUACAUGAUACAGUUCCGUUGGCAGACUCAAAAUGUAAGUGCUAAAGAAAUAUUUUCUAAGACAAAAUAAUAUACAAAAACGUUGAGAAUAAUUUAUUUACAAACCUCCUGCAGACAAAAUGGUUACCCAUAUUUACAGCUUCUCAAAACAUGGGAUGCUGCUUGAAAAAUGUCAGCAGCUUCAAUUAUGUCUACAUAUAUGCAUGGAACAACAUUACCAAAGGGACCUGUGGUUGUAGAUGCAUGAUUCUUUUCUGCUGGUGAUUAUCUUGUUGAAUAUUGAGCUUGGCAUUGUAUGCUCUUCGUGUUAAGAUUAGGCAGGCUCACGAGGACGAGUAGCCCAGAGCGAGCUCAAAGCCCGAAGGCGUUGGAAGUACUCCCCCAAGGCAAGAAGGCCGCGAGCUGCCUGGCGGAUUGUUAGGAUGCACGACAUCUGCUGUAAGGUCCCUCGCCGAAGAUUAUCAGCCUGUUUGGGUAAAAAGAUCAUUUAGUCAGAAAACAUGUCAUUGAAAUGUUAAGAAAACUAACACAGAACUAACAUUACAAGGAAAAUUACGUAAAGUUAACACCAAAUACUACAAAAACAAAAAUAUCACAAUGAUUCACGUAAGAUGAAAAUCUCAGGCAACAGCAUUCGGAUGUAAUGGAAUGCACCCCAAAACUUUUUGUUCACCCCUUAACAUAGAACUCAUUAUGUGAUUACUUUCUGCCUUGUCCUGGUGGAAGCUGUACAUUAUUACCAAAUAGCUGAGUAGUUCUAACCCUAUUUUUUCAUUAAGUUAAUAUCACAACUUCACCGUGUCAGUAUAAUUUCCAACAAAACUGUUCCUCUAUCGUUAGUUAAUCCAUUCAUAAAAAUACAAGUCAGUCUGUACUAUCUUACCUACCAAAUAAUUCAAAAGAUUCAUUUUUUCAGCUUCUAUCGAGACAUGAGAGAUGUAAGAGAUUAAUAAGGGUUCCUUUUGACAUUGGUGUUCAUUCUAGUCGAAUUUGAUGUGAAAAACUUGUCUUAAUUUUUUUUUUAAACUCAGAUUUUGUUAAAAAUAAACAACACCAAGAUGGGCCUAGUCAAAGUUUACAAGCUGUAGAUUAUAACCACAGGAAACAGGGGCAUAAAUGUUUUCUUCAUUCACCGACAAAGUAUCCCACUCAUUUCAUUUGUAAUAUGAAAUCUAAAUGGCUUCACUUUUGAUAAAGCCGAAAAUAAUUCAUGGCACCUACAUUUACAAAUUAUAGCCUAUAGAAAAACCAACAUUUCCAACAUUUAAACAGAUGGUUUUGCAAGAUUAGAUAUAAAACACACUUGAGUCGAAGUUUGGAACAAAACCAUCCAACAGGUCUAUGGAUACAUGCAGUACAUUACCUGUUGCACAAAGCUAACGAGCUCUUCCAAUUUCUGCAUGGCAUUAGCCAUCUGUGGCACAUAACUACCUUCACCCAGUUGACCAGCUGCCACAGUGUCAGCCAGAGUGAGCUGGAGUUUAUCCAUACCUUGCGAAAGAGCAUCUUCUGCUUGUUGACAUGAUUGCCUAAGAUUGUAAACAUCCAAAACUUGUUGGUCUGUCAAGGGGUCAAGGUGAGGCUGAAGAACCUGUAAUCAACACAAAUAUAAGAACUAGCUUUACCCUAAACUCACUUAUGGAACUUAUUGCUGAAAGAAUAUGCCAAAAGAAGUCAUUUACAGUAUAAUAGUGUUCCACUAAAUACAUCAGUUUGCAAAGAUAUCAGAACCGUAAUGGAUGAUCUGCCUCCAACUUUCCACAUUCUCAACGAGAAAAAGGGAAGAAAAAAAAAAUGGGCCCGAAAUGGAAACUAUGCUGCACUACUGGUACAGUCAACACUCUUCAUUUAAAAUUCAUCAAAAAUAUUAGAUUAAAAUGAACCAAUUCUCAUUCCCCUUCAUCCUAUAAUUGGUGAUUCGGUUUUAAAGAAUAACUCUAAUAUCCUACGAGUUCUACUGCAACGCGCAAGUCUCAGGAACAAAAAAUGCAUUAUCUUCAAUUAAUGACUUCUAACACACCAUACAUUACCUUAAGAAUCUCUGAAGGGCGAAACCCUCCAAUCCACGAGAAAAACCGUUCAGCUGAUGUUUUCCACAUCCCAGACAUCACAUAGAAUACGUCAGCUUUUGCGGCAGUUAAUUUCAUGCUGAAAAGUUCAAAAUAGUGACUCAUGCCACUAUCCACAAGGAAUCGAAGCUCUAUAUCACUUAUAUGAGCAUGCAAAGCAGUCCUCAGUUCAUUAAUUUGCCUAUUUUGUUCUUCCACCCAGUGUCCAUACUCCAUCUCAAAUGUUGUUACACCUGCAUAACUUGGAGUUUCAAAUUUUAUAUUACAAGGACAUGAAGAAAAAAAAACCAUGAUACAAUACAAUUAUGUACUUGAGGAAACGUACGCAUAAAGAUAUAUAAAGAAGCAUCCAAACAUUAGAGAUUAUGAUGUUUUGAAAGACGCCCAGGUAAACCUUCUAGAGAGCUUUGUUUUUACAGGAAGCAUGAAUGCGUCCCUGUAUAUAUAUACAUACACCUUUUGGAUAGAGUAAGAGUCUGGACUUCCCUUCAGGCUUCAGAUUGUCCUGAGUUUUGGAAAUUAUCACUUUCUAUUAUUCUUGUAGAUUGAGCGCGCAGUUAAAUAGUUUCCAUCACCAUUUUUUGUAUUAUUGAUGGCUGGCUCAUGGGGAAUUAUAUGCCUUCUUUGUUGUAUGUGGUGGACACGUCCACAAUUUCUAUUAUUAACAAUGAAUAGACUUUAUAGCCUUUUGCACAGACACUUGAUGUUGAAGAAUGGAGCACUUAUCCAUUCUCAUCAUCACAAUACCAAUAAAAACUCAUAACCAGAAGGGAUGAAAAGGAAAAGGAAAAUUCCAACAAGAUGUAGCAUUUUAUUGCAUAGAAUCAAUAAAUUGUUUAAGCUGCUGACCACCCCAAGUUUCAUAUGCAACCCUAUAAUAAAUAUCAACAUUCUAGAUUGACAAGAUAAAAUCAAAGAUAUGGCAGAAGCACACUAACAAACAAACCUGAGUUUAUAGUGCCCGAGAAUCCUAGAGGACUAGCAUCCAGUCCACUGCCAAUAUAAAUACCCUGCUAUAAUUUACAAGAAGAGAAGUUAUAAUUUUUUUUCUUUUCUAUUGAAUCUAGUAAUAAACUAUAGAAAAGCUAAUCUUCUCCUGACCUGUUGUCUUGCUCGGUCAAGCUCUUGCUCUAAUUGAAUAAGCUUCAAACGACUUGUUUCUAACUGCUGAACAUAGGCCUGUAUAGGAAAAGUCAUCAUAUAGUCCAUAUACAUCACUAGUUGCAUAUAUGAUAUAUUUUCAAAUGCAUACCACUUCCUACCUUCUUUCGCAUCCGACUUUUACGAGCAGCCUCCCGAUUUUGUGCAAGACGUCUUUGCACCUAAAUAGUUUAACACAUAACCAAAGUAUAAGAUGCUGGUUUGAAAGUUCGCACCAUUGAACUCCUAAAAUGAAUUACUACAAAAUGAAUCUGGAAGAAUACAGUAAAUCUUUAGUUCACAAACAUAAAUUUCAGACAUAAAUUGCUAAGUGAACAUGACCAAUCCCCAGUUAUUUAAAUCCACUCCAAAAGUAACCAUAUGAUUCACAAAUAAUAUUUUGAAUCUAAUAAGAGCCACAAAGUAGGCAUGCGAGCGGUAGGCAUGCGAGCGGUAGGCAUGCGGGAACUAACCUCUACUUUUUUUGUUUUAAUCUAUACCUCAAAACCAAGCCUCGGACUUGAGGUUUGUACAGAAUAUUCUAUCUAGUUUAUACAAUUUAAAAGGUGGCCAAACCAAAAUCAACUUUGAUAAACGAAAUUAGACAAGGAGCUAAGGUCUAGCACCCAAAUCCCAAGGAAAAAUAAAUUAUGGAAGAGUUUACAGUAGUAAAAAAUUUCUUCAAAAAGAAAAAAGUCCACAACAUUUACCCAUUUGAACUCCAUAGAAUUGUUUUCCUGAUUUAACCAUACAUAUCAAUGAACGUUACAAUCUCAACUAGUAUUUCACAAAUCUCAAUCUCCAUUCAUGACUAAUGUCUGAAAUCAUGAACAGUAAUAAAACAAGGAUGAAAAUAAAAAAGGAUCCAUCCCUUGAACUAUACUUCUUUACUACAGAGAUCCCUGAAUCUGUUAUAUAUUACGCCUUUACUACACUCAAUAAGAAAACGACACACUGUGACAAAGUAUGUCAAGUGGGCAUAUUUGGAAAUGAAUAUCUAUGUGUUGUAUACAAUAUUCAUCAGCCACUUGUAAGAAGAAAUUUCACAGUUGGUCAAAAUACUAAGAAAUUUCACAGUUGGUCAAAAUACUAGGUUAUUAGUUUUAGAAAGUCAGAAGCGACAGUGCCAGUGUGGUGAAAUUUCAAUUUUUCAACCAAGGUUUGUAUGUCAGUACGGUUAGCCUUAUGUUUUGCUAAAGAAAGAAAGAGAUCACAGGGCGAGUGAUGCAGAAGCUCAAUUUCUCAUACCUUGUCUGUAGGUUUAGUUGCUUCUUGGUCAUACUUGCUAGAAGGCCCCAGGAUUCCAUGAGAAGCAUCCUCUGACUAGAUAAAUUUAAAUGAUAACACAACGCACAGAAAAUGGAUUAAUGUCACUCCAAGAAACAAGAACCAAAACAAUUAAUAUCAAAUACUCACCUGAUUAUCUAGUUUUGUGUCUGCAUCAACUAUCAUUGAUGCUGAGGCAUUAAAAUUACCAUUACUCUUAAAGCUUUCCUCCCACAUGCUAAUCUGGUGGAUAGGCUCAUAGGCCCCCAUCCUUCUUGAGGUGACAAACUGGGUGGAUGGAGAAUUCAUGUUUCUUCAACUGACAAUGGAAGGAAUCCAAUGAAUCUUUGACAUAAAAGCAUGUGAUGUAGAACCUAGAAGAAUUCCCAGAGAGAGAAGUAGGAUAACCAUAUUUCUGUAAUGUCAAUCAAUAUGCGAAAACUGAAAUCCAAACAAAUGGCCUACUUUUAUAUGCAGUCCAAUUAAACUAAUAAAAUACAGCAAUUACGAAAAACAUAAUUGUAAAAUUUAUAUAAAACCAGCCUAAAUUCCGUCCUUGCACCAACAGUAGAAACAUUUGAAAUCUCCUUGUUAUGAUCCCAAUUAGAGUAUGACUCGCAGUUGGGGUAAAAAGGCCAAUAUUUGAACACAGCUACAACAAAAAGAUGAAGAAAACACAGAAGUUGGGUGGGGGGGAGGAAUUUAUGAAAUGAUCGGUACCUUUCACCUUGUCAUGCUGAAUUUCUCAUAAAGAAAAAAAAAAAGUAACUACAAGCCAAGUUUAGAACUUUGCAGGGUUCCAAAAAGCCUAACCACCAAAGACUCUCAGUUCCUUUAAUCAGUAAAAGUUUGACAUGGAUUUUGUACUUGUUGCUUAUCAACUAUACAGUAAAAGUUUUUAGUACAAGAUACUCAGCUCCUCUUAUCAGCCACAUAAAUACAAAUGAAAACUGAGAAUCCUUUUCUUACUUUCUUCAUCAAACCCAUGAGAGCCCAAAACAGUAUUGACAAUCAAACAUAACAAUAACAGAGCAAAACUAUGUAACAGAGGACUGAGAUAAGAAAAACUUCUACUUUCUUAAGCCAAGCUGCAGCAUCUUCAUUUUCGACCCAAAAAAAAAAAAAGAAAAAAAGCUGCAGCAUCUUUGUAUCAAAAACUAAAAACUGAAACAAAACAAAAAAAACCCAAAACUCAGACUUCCUUUCUCUUUCUUCUGCUUUCUUUUCUCGGAAACCAAACAUGCCCAAAAUGGAAUUUGAGAAAGAAAAAAAAAAGAGAGCAAAAACAGAAAGUGAACCUUUGAAAGGCCAGUCUGAGGAAGUCAAGUCUACUUUUCCCGCUCUAAAUUGAAGCAGAGCAAGCAGGGAGACCAAGCCUUCUGCAGAGUAGCAAUGGAAACCCUAGCUCUCACUGCAAGUCCCAUCAUCUGGCAGAAGAAUCGAGUGAGAGAACACGACAGCUUAAUAGACAACUUUCAAACUUCCUAAUCCCUUUUCUAAUCUUUCAUUAAGAUAUUAAUAAAUUCCCAAUUACAAUUAUUGACCAUUUUCCUCUCCCUUUUUUAAAUCCAUUAAUUUCUAAUUUUAUACAAAUUUUUUUAUAGAAAAUAAAAUUUGUAUUUUUCUGAGCGUGAGAGAGAGAGUAUGUCAAAGACUACAGAGAAGAUGAAAGAGAGCGUCGUAAUCCUCAUCCUCCUCCCACUAUAAUAUCCCACCCACUGCUAAUGUGCGCACCAGGUGGAUCGCUCUGCGACGCUUUCCUUAACCUGCGCACUCCCCGCGAGUGAUUCGCUGACGUCAUAUUACGGCAUGUUACCUCGCCGGGUGUUUGGGAUUCGCCGGAGAUAUGAGCGAGGGCUUGCGUUCCGGUUGGGGUUUGGUGCGAACGCUCGAGGCGAGCGCGUGGAGAGGUACGGGGUCAGGUGGGAGUUGAUAAUUUCGCGGGAAUGGAGUGACAGUUUAUUGGUGUGGGGUCGGCUUAGCGUGUUUUUGUCUAAUUCUCUAAUUUGUCUAACUGGUUUUUAAUUUUAAUUUUAAUAUUUUUAACUUUUGGAUUUUGACUUUUUUGGGUUUUGAACUUUUUGAGAGUGGGAACAGUAACGGCUACAUGAACGUGAUGAUUCGCUUUCUGAAUUUUGACUACUUCAAAUUUGAGGCCAUGCAUAUUUUGAUAUUUGAUAUUGCACACAAAAAGGGGAUUAUCCUAGUUUCUAGUAGGUUUGGGUACAGUAUGAGAUGACACGGAAUGGAGGUUAUCUCAGUGUUAAUCUCGAAUAGGAGAAUCGGAAUGGGAUGUCACGGGAUGAGAGUUUUUGAAAUCACGUUCAAACCGUAUCGGACCCAAAUGGGAUCGGUAUGAUUUGGUAUCAAUGUUGAUACCGUAAAAAAUCUCUUCUACUUUAGCCAGUUCUGCUCUUGAGCAGAGCCUCACUCCACCACAAAACACUAUCACUUGUUUGCUUAUCUCUUUGUAAUCUUCCUGCAUAUUUAAAUGAAUAAAUCUCAAACAUUUGUCACCAUUGAUAUUCAAAAAGUUAAAAUCAAAAGCUACAUACUGCCCAUCUCCAAGGAUCAAACUCCGUGGGAUUUUCGUGAAGAGCUUGAUCCAAAUGUGCCCCAGAAAAGAUUGAAAGAACCUUCCAUCCUGAUGAUAUGACCAACUCUGCACCAACAAUAAUCCAAUAGUUAAUAAACAUCUCUGAGAAGAACACAAAGAGAGAGAGGAGGAGGAGGAGGAGAAGAAGAUGUGAUCGAUUGAUGGUGAAGGAUUAGGGAAUUACGGCUUCAAAUUAUGAUUGAGGAAGGAGAAGAGAAGAAUAGACAGAGGAAAGGAAAGGAAAGGACGCAAAGAAACAAAGAGGAGUCGAAGAAAUGUCUGUGGAGAGUAGGGGUGGAAUUGAAAUUAAAUUAGGAUUAAUAAAACUCACGUACUGUUCGGUAUGGUAUGAUACCAACCAGGAUCACAAAUGUGGAAUCGAUGUCGUGCCAAAUAGUAACAGGAUGACAUGGUAUCAUCCCGUUUACACGUCAACACCAAAUGGGAUGGCACGAGAUUGACACGAUUUGACAUGAUUUCAAGAUGAUUUUGGUAUUCCGGUUUUGAUGCCCACCCCUAGUUUCUAGGAGGGAAAUACUUGCCUCAUUUUCAUAGAAGUAGAAACUUUCAUUUCCCUACUAGUUAAAGUUUGACAUGUGUGCAUAAAUUUUUUUUUAAAUUUAUGAUAAAUUAUUUUGCAUAUACAUACAAAAAGUGUCAUUCUACAAUAAUUAAAAUCAUCGACGAAAAUAUAUUGUCCUAUAAGGAAAAAAGGUCUUAUCAUUACCAUAGUUUCAUACUGCAUUCUACAGUACUUCAAAUCAUCGAAGAAAAUAUAUUAUCCUAUAAGGAAAAAAAAGGUCUUAUCAUUGCCAUAGUUUCAUACUGCCAUUCUACAAUACUUCAAAUCAUGGAAGAAAAUAUAUUAUCCUAUAAGGAAAAAAAGGUCUUAUCAUGCCCUAGUUUCAUACUGCCACUCGAUACUAGUACUGGAGUGGAAGAUAGAAACAGUAAUAGCAUGAACAAGGGAGAGGAGUCAAAAAUGUCAAUGACUAUGGAGUAUGUGAAUAGUAUGGAAUCAAAAGAAUAUAAUAAUAAUAAUAUUUCUACCUCGAUUUGGUGGAGUUAAAUAGAGGAGUCAAGCAAGGGGACUGUAUUUCAAGUGCUAAAGAGUACUUAUACCUGCACUUGAAGUCGUGUGUUCAAAUUCUCCUUUCUUAAUAUCACUUGUAUUAAAUAAAAUAAAAAAAAAGAGGAGCCAAAAAUUAAGAAUGAUGCCUAUUUUUAUUUUAUUUUUAUUUUAUAGAGAAACAGAAAAAUUACAAACAGAAACUACGAGGGGACGCAAGCCCAACUAGAUCAAAGUAGAAGGGAGUCGAGCAACUUAAAGGAAGAUCCCGAUCCCAAAGGUGGGAAGUGUUCAUAUUGUGGCCUAUACUAGCUAAAGCGUCAGCAGUGAAGUUAGCUUCCCGGAGGACAUGCUGGAAGGAAAUCUCAUCACAGUAAGAGCUUAGCAGCCUAAUAUCUUGUACUAGGAGAUUAAUACUCCAAGGAACCGAAACUUUGUUUUUGAUGCAGUCUAUGACGAGUUUGGAAUCUCCUUCAGCUACAACUUUACGCCAUCCAUUGUGGAUAGCAUGAGUAUGAUGCCUAUUUGCUCCACCACAUUUGUGUUGGGCUCUUUCACCUAUGGAGUUAAAUAUGACAUUUAACUUUUAUUUUCUCUGUGUUUCUGUAUCGGAUUUCCACUAUUAUUAUUUUUGCGAUUUCUUUAUGUUUGGAAUAAGUCACAGAGACUCUUUGGGUUUUGUGUGUAGCUUUCACAUCUCAUUUUGUGAGAGUUUUUCACCUCUCUUUUAUGAGAGCUUUUUAUCACUCAUUUAUGAAAGUUUUAUUUGUAUUCAAUGACAGACCCAAGAAUUUUGUGAGGAGUAAGCUAAUAUUUUUCUUCGCUUUUAGGGACACCAAGUAAAAUAAUAAUAACAACAACAAUAAUAAUAAUAACAUUUAAAAUAUUUCGAAACCAGAAAAUGACAAAUAAAAUAAUUAAAAAAACAAACAAUCUAAAACAAACCCUUUCUCCUUCUCUCAAAAAACAAAUUUUCUUUCAAAUAGCAUAGGAAAAAAACCCCCAAAAUUUAACAACCAAAUCCUAAAUCUUAAAAACCCAACAAUAACAGUUAAAAUUUAAUAAAACCCACAAAAUUUAACAACAAUAACCUAAAUCUUAUCACUGUGAGAAGGAUUUCUUCACUCUGCAUCCGCUUCUCUGUGUGUGUGUGUGUGUGUGAGAGAGAGAGAGAGAGAGUGAUCGUGAGAGUUGGGAUAGAGGGAGGAGUUGAGAGAGUCAGUGAGAAAAGGAGUGAUAAGAGGAAGAGAGAGAUUGAGGGGGAGAAGUUGUGAUUCACACAGAGAGGAAGAGAACGAAGCAUAGAGAAAAUAAGCAUAAUACAAAGAAGAGGAAGAAAAAACGAAGAAGAGAGACAAAAAAGACGCAGAGAGAAACCCCCAAAAAAUAAAAAAAGUAGAAGAGAAAAAGACAGAAGAAUAGAGAGUUCAUAAAGCAACCAAAAUUUGAUUAGUUUAUUAUAUUAAAAAACAAAAAACAACCGCACUAUGGGACACAAAAGACGACAUGUGGCAAGGAGGGAUAGGCUAAUAUUUGUGGGAGUAGGGACAUCUUGUAAAAUUUGCACCAAACUCCAAUAUUUUUAAAUCUUGUCCUAGACUGGAGCCCACUCCAACUUAUAUGUAGAUAUGUCUUUGUUUGUAUUGUUAUGGCUUAGUUUUUUAAACAUUAUCUCUUUUUGCUUAUUAUGAGUUUGUAAUAUUAGUUGGGAUAUCUAUACUAGAAUUUCUUCGAUCCUGUGUUAGUAGAGGUGCACUAGAUUGUCUUAAUUUUAAUGUUAGAUCGCUCUGUUAUUGUAAUGGCUUUUGUGACUUUGUGGCUGGUAGUUUUUUUGACUGAAUUAUGAAUGCAAUCCCAGAAUUUCUCAACAAAAAAACUCUAUUUUUAAUUAAUGUCUUUAUUAUUUAUUUUUAUUUUUUGUUAAUGACAUGUUGGUUUAGAAAUAAAUGCGCUUUAUUGUCAAGGUAUGGAGUUUGUCAUCUCGAAGUUGGGGGGAUAAGAUUGGUAAAAAUGUAUAAUUUCUCCAACUUUAAGGCUUAAACACCAACUAAAAUUUAUCUACACAUCAAGGGGUUUGUAGUCCAAGUGGUUAAGAGUAUUUACUUAUACACUCAAAGUCCUAUAUUCGAUUUCUCCCUCCCCCAAUAUUCCUUGUAUAAAUAAUAAUAAUAAUAAUAAUCUACACAUGCUUGUUCGAAGAUAAUGAAGAGUUAUUAUGAGGAUCCGAUCCUGUGCUUGAAUUUUCUCUACUAGGGUAAGAAGUGUGUGUUUUUAUAGACCAUUCACACAAAUGCAUACGGCUUUCGAAUGGGGACCUGGAUCCUCUGCUUGUUUUUUCUCUGUCAUGAUCUGCUUGACUUUAUUCUUGUUACGCCACCUCAUUAAAAUAAGAGUUAUUAUGAGGGAUUACGUCUCGUAGAGAAAAGGAAAUAGAAAGGAAAAAAACUAUGGAGAAGCAGGGAAAGAAAGAAGUAAAAAAAGAAGAAGACGAAGAGUAGACAGUAGGAAAGGGGAAGAAGGGAUGACGUGCUGUAGAGAAAAGUUUAACAUGUUAAGUUUCCUGUUAUUUCAAUUAGGGGUUUUUCUUUUAAAUAUUUAAAUUAUGAGAAAAUUGAAUUAUUAAAGUUUCUUGGAUUAAAUUUUAAUGAGGUGGUGUAUUUAUAAUAAGUCAGGCAAAUUAUGGCAAAGAAAAAACAAGCACAGGAUCUGGCUCCUUCGAAUGGAUGUCAUCUUGCAUGUUUUGUCUAAAUAUUGUACUUGCCAAAAAACCAUGAGAAUUUUUUAUUUUUUAUUUUUAAAAAAAGGGAUCGUUAUGCUCUUCAUGGUUGUCGUACCAAUGAAAAAAGAAUUUUUAAAAAAAACAUUAAAAAGAAAAGGUGGUUACUUGCCUUGUUUAACAAACCAAUAGCACAAAACUUUCUUCUUCUUCUUCUUCUUCAUCUUCUUCUUGUUUUAUAUGGUAAACAACAGUAAAAGUUGCAUUUGCGUAGCACUUUAGAAUAAACCUGCUUGUCUUACUUUAGAAUAGAAAUCUCACUACUCUCACUUUUGAUUAUAUCCAUAUCUGUGGAGAGACCAAAACAGAAUGUAUGGGCCCCCUCGUCCUUGUGCAAUGCAAUACAUACAGGCUUCCACAAUCGUAAGUUAGGAAAAUAAUCUAUAUUAUCUUAAACUGAAUUCACACUUGGAGCAUUUUGGAUACAAAUAGUGAGAUUCCAACGUCGAACCUUUUCAAGUAUCGACAGAUUUACCAUGAAGAGUUAUAGUUGAUAAUAUAUUAUAUCUGGAGUGCCAAUACUAUUUAAGAGAGAACAAAAAACAGGAGGUAUUACUUUUUCUUUCUUUCUAAUUUAGGGUUAGGUGUAUGGAAUGGAACCCAAUUGACUAAAGGAGCUCAGGGAACACAGAGAGAGAGAGAGAGAGAGAGAGAGAGAGAGAGAGAGAAGAGAGAGAGAGAGAGAGAAGACCAUAACCAUGCAUAUGAGAGAGAGAGAGAGAGAGAGAGAGAGAGAGAGAGAGAGAGAGAAUAUUAAUCGUACUUGUUGCUAAUAAGUCUUGUCUUUAAAGGGCAAGUUCGAUUUGGGAAAUGAGUCCAUUGGCAUCACCAAAUGUCUGAAUAAAUUAAGGAUUGGAUUAUCUUAGAGAAGAGUUGAUUUGAAAAAGAAAACAAGUAGGAUAAGAUUAAUAAUAAUUAUAUAAUUAUUAAGGUCUUGGUGGCAAUGAUGUGUAUAAAGUUGGGAUGAUGGUGGUGGGUGCCCUAAGAAUGGUUGGCCGAUUCCUUAGUGAUUUUCCCUUUCAUAUUUUCCUGUGUAUUUGUUUGAAUAAACAAAAGAAACGUCACGUAAACAAUUGCUUUUCCUGUUUGUGGUCUUAUUCUCAAGUGCAAUCUAAAGUGGCGUGCCACCGCCACUAAGAAUGGCUAGUGUUGGCGUCACCAAUUUUCAGAUUCAAAAAAAUCAUGAAAAAUUUAGAUUCUCAAUCCAAGUUUGGAUGCGAUUUUCCUUUUCUUGUGUCCCCGAAUAUGUAAUUAUGUAUGUUUUGUUGAAAAUAAGUGAAUUUCAUUCCUUUUUCACAUACUCACCAACAUCAAACCUGUAUUUGGGCUUUCUUGAAAAUGAGGACUUCAAUAUGCUACUUUUGUGGCGUUGGUAUGAAGGAGUUUCUUGUAGUUUUUCCAAAGAUUGGGCCAGCUUUCCUUAUGGAGGGUUCUAGCAAUUUCUAGUCUGAUAUUAAUUGAAACAUACAUAAAAUGAUAAAGGAACAAUUUAUAAACUUAAAUGCAAUCAAAAAAACAUAAUUUAGAGUUAAAGAUUUCUCAAUUCAAUUAUGUACAGGAGGAGUUUAAAGAAAACAAACGAUAAACUGAUAAACUGGUACAUGAAAAAGAAAAAAAAAAAAAAAGCAAGCCUAGCAACUAGGAAUCAUACUAAGUGUUGGUAGAGCAAUAAACUUAAAAGAUAACUUAGGAGUUGUCAAUUGGAUAUCUUAAUACAAAGGAAACUAGUUGAGUUCAACGAGAUCAAGUGUUGAUUGAGUGUGAAAUCUUUUUUUGGGAGAACAGUUGUGUGGCUAUAGAGCUGUGCUAAGCUAGUAUAUAUAAGCUCCUUGGUUGAUGAAGGGAUGGUUGAAUCUACUGUGAAUCCUUUCUUUGCGGGUUGAACUGGUGAACUUAAGUGCUUUGAUUUUUGUGCCGACAGUGAGAACUACCCAAGCAUGGCCUUUCUUCGACAAGUUGGUUCAGGAGAAGCUCAUGGUUCAAGUCGCAUUUAAUGUAGUUCCUCAGCCUUUCUUUUGCCGCCUAACUUCUUCCCAGUUGUAGAAGUCAACUUUGAGCUUUGAUUUGGGUAAGCGCACCUUUACUCGAGUAAAAGGUUUUCAAAUUUGUGAGAAACAACUUUAAAUUAAAAGGUCUGUUGUAAAGAAGAAUAAGUAAAGAAGAAUAGGUGAAGUCCACAUAGCCAACUCACACCCACCAAACCAAACCACUACCCAAUUGAUUGAAGAAUAUUAAUGAUGUUGUCUACCAAUUAUAUUGUGAGGUGAACCACCAAUGUCUUAGGCCUAUAAAUAGAUACCUCCAUCAAGAGAAGUGGGAGCUUAGAGAAGAGGAAGAGAAGGAAGAAAGAGGGUGAGUGAGUUGAGAGGAAAGAGAGCAAGAGAGAAAUUCUCCAAGAGAGAAAAUUGAGUGAGCCAUACAUAUUGUAAACACUAAAGUUGUAGCCCUAUUAUUUUACAUAGUGGAAAAGUUACUACUGCUGCUCUCCGGGGACGUAGGCAUAGCCGAACCUCGUUAAAUACUGUGUCUCAUCUACUUUACGUGCAGCUCAAUAUUCGCACAUAUCUCAGUUAUUUUACAACAAGGUCAACAUUAUUAGGAGGCAUGAGACAUCCUUUUACGAAUGCCGCCCGGACCUAGAUGUAGCCUAGCUGCCAAACCGCUGCAAGAGCAGCGAUCCAGCAACUAGGCCACGGCGCGUCUCGCACUCCUCCAAAUCAGCAUGCUACGCUCCAAACUAUGGAAAAAAAAACAAAAAAAAAGAUACGCGGCGACAAUCGCCAAAGCAGCCACCAUUGCAACCACCGAUGCUACCACCACCUAGGCGCGUCGGUUAUCUCUUGCAGUCAUGACGACAAGCAGUUGGGUCCACCCCAUUAGUCCUCCCCUCGACUCUCGACAGAAGAAAAGACUGCCGUAGCCACCGCCGACAACGGCGACAACUACGACCGUGCUGCUCCUAUGCGACAACAACAACCAGUUGGGCCCGCCCAACUUCUCCUCGCCGUGAAGAAAAAUGAAGAGAAAAAAUAUAUAUUCGACCUACCUUGGUGUGCACGACGACUCCUCUCCUCAACAAGCAGUACAAUUCUCCAAGAUCUCUCUUACAAGCUAAAAAGUAGAGUUAACAAGUUUGCAAUUUGAAUAGAAGUGAAGAGAAGCCUUGUAUUUAUAAAGGUUGGACAUCCUAAGUCAAGGAGGAAUCACAAGCCUAUUCCCAUUGGGAGUCCAACUCCAAGAAGAAGGGGUAUUUGUGGGAACAUAUAUUUCGAAGGCCAAUAAGAAGAAGAUACGUGAAAAAGGAAUAUUCCUUAGGUCAAACUAAUUACCCUAAUUAAUUUCUAUUUAAUUAGAGAAAUUAUCUUAAAUUUAAGAUAGGAAUAUCUCCAUAAAUCAAGGAACCAAUCUCCACCAAAUCUCUUAGAGCAAUUCUUAUCAUCUUUUUGGGGAAGAAUAAUCCUAACCAAAUAAGGAUUAUUGUCCUAAAACCCUAGCACACAAGGAGGCUAUAAAUACAUGGCUACACAAGGCAUUCAAGGUAAUUCUUCUCUAAUUCCCAAAUCAUACGAAAACCCUUCUCUCUCUCCUUGUCGUCGCCCCUCUCAUCUCUCCCUCUCUCACAUAGCUAAGUGCCACCACAUACGGCUAAGGCCACUCGGCUCUUCCCGUGAGAGAAAACUCCAUCCAUUUUAGCUAUUGCCGUAUCUUUUAUCAAAGAUCCAAUUGAACUAACUUAGACAUCGGAAGGCCUUUGGCCAACAACCCCUGGAUGUGGUCUAUUUACUCAUGUUUACUUCACAGGGAUCGAGAAAAAGAGAGAAGGAAGCUCAAAGGGAGAAAAAUCUACAUGCGAAUAUUCUCCCGUGAGAAAUUUACAGAAACACUUAGAAUCAUUCUACUAGUCAAACCACUGGUCGUAGUCCUUUUGAGGUUGUUUAUGGGAAAAAUCCUAUAAGCCCUCUGGAAUUAACUCCUCUUUCAAUCAAGAAUCAGUUCAAUGGUGAUGUAGAAGAAAGAGCUAAAAGCAUCAAAUGAUUGCGUGAACAGGUCUACAGGAAAAUCCUUCAACAAAAUGAAAAGUACAAGAAGAGUGCUAACAAGCAUCGGAAAGAUGCAAAAUUUAAGGAAGGUGCACCUUGAAAGUUUGGUAAACUCAAGCCUAAGGUUGAUGGUCCAUUCAAAGUAUUUAAGCGCAUAGGUAAUAAUUCUUAUGAGAUUGAGCUUCCAGAUCACUACAACGUUGCAAGUACUUUCAAUGUUUCAAACCUCUCUCCGUUUCAUUGCAAGUAAAACCAGCAUGACUCGACAUCAAGUCUUUUCCAAUCGAGGGAGUGUAUGCAAACAAACUCCUAAUAUCAUGCCCAAAGGAAUUCCAAAUACUUACAUCACUCACUCAAGCUGAAGGGGUUGCAAGACAUUAAAGCAGGUGUUAUUAUGACUGAAAAUUAAUUGCAUACAAAAUUUAUUUGAAGCCAAGCCUAUCUGGAACUCAUUGUUUUUUACGAAUCCCCAUUUAGAGUUUUCUAGAAGAAGUUAUGGUCAUUUAAGAGCACUUUCACCCAUUUUUCAUGGCAAAGGGUAAGGGCUGUUACUAUUCACGUGAAUAGUGGCAUCCCUUGCAAAAGGUUUGUUGUGUUUCCACCCAUUGUCAUGACAACCCAAAGAGAACCACUAUUCUCAUGAGAUAUGAGGAGAGGAAUUUGUAUAGAGUUUUGCUGUGGGAAUUGAAAAAUAUAGCUAGCUAUUUAUUUAUGAAAAAAAAUUGAAAUUUUUGGUUUUUCUAUUUUUAAAUUUUUUUCAUUUUUUUUAUUUAAAAAAUUUGGUUGUUGACGUCAUCGCUAACGUUAGCAGCCCCCCAGGCACGAGCUCGAGCUCAUUUUGCCUUUGGGUUUGCCCUGUUUGUUGAGACCCACCUUCUGCCCGAGCUGCUGAAGCCCGAUGGAACUGCGACUUGGAGCUUGGGCCGCCUUCUGCCCAGGCCAAACUAAAGCACUUGAAUUGUUCUAAAUGAAGGUAGUGCAUGUUGUCUGGAGUUAUGCGAGAAUCCAGAAGGAAUUAGUCUUGCAUUCGAAUAUUUCAUAUUUUCUAGGUAUCAUUUGUUUAGUCUAGGAGUCUUAUUAAUAUUUCCUAGUUAUCCUUGUCUUGGAAUGACAAAAGUCACCUAUCUUUGGAGAGUUGUUCCAAGGAGUUACUUCUUUUUAUACUCCCCAUUGUGUUCUGCUAGGACAUUGAGUAUUGAAAUGAAAAGUUAUGUUCUUUUGAACUAUUAUCCUUAAACUCUGUAUCUCUGUAUCUCCUUGGAGGAUUCCAUUGAGUGGUGAGUUCCCUUUACUCUAUGGCCUCGUUUGGUUCAUGAGAAAGGAGACUUGGGAAUGGGAAAUCAAUUACUUUCCUAUGUUUGAUAAGUCUAGGUAUGGGAAAUCGUUGCUUGGCUCAUGAGAAAAUAAAAGGGAAAGUGAAGGCAUCCUCCCAACUUUGGUUUUGUUUUCCCUCCUCAUGGGAAAGUUUGGGAAAAUGAGCUAACAUUAAAUACAUAUUUUUUAUGACCAUUUUAUCCCCAUUAACAAUUUAGAAUUACAAUAUAUCAUUAAAUGCAUUUUUUUAUUUGAUUUAAUAUGGAUAUAAUUAAAAAUUUACACAAACUUUGUUUUCCAUUCCUACUCAAAACAAACAUGGGAAAGAAAAUAAAGUGAUAUUUCCCGGUUACUUUCCCGGUUACUUUCCCAAUAUUAUCAAACGUGGGAAAUGAAUCUUCCAUUCUCAUUCUUUGGGGAAUGAUUUCCCCUCAAAUUCAUUCCAUGAACCAAACAGGGCCUAUAUCCCAAUAUAAACACUUUGGGUGGUGAUUUCUGUAUCCCUUAGGUGUAUGUUGGGUGGUGAGUGUUUCUUUGUGCUUUGAGCCUUUGGUCCCAAGCCAUUUAUCGACCAUAUCUGCACGAGGCCCAACGGACCAUUCCAUUUAAAGCCCAUUUAUUAUAUUAUAAUUGUUUCUAGAUAAUAAUAAUAAUAAUAAUAUUACUAUAUCUAUAUCUUAAAUUUAAGUAUAUUUCCUUUUUCUAAUAAUAGAUUUUAAAAAACAAUGUUUUCUUUAUAAAUAAAAUAAUUAUUUUGUUCUUCAAGUGGAAAUCUUUUAAGCUCGAACAAGAGUCGAGCAAUUUUCUAUCUACAUGUAAUUAAAAAAGAGUCAUUUGUUUCUUUUUCCGAAAAUAAGAAAUCUUAUUAAUAUAUACAUAAUAGUUAAAAAUAUUGAAAUGAAAUUGUCAAAAAAGAAAUUUACAAGACAUGAAAUACAUAAGUCAGGCUUGGUGUGGGCUCAUAUAAGCCCGACCCAUCCCUAUAUGAGUUAGGGCCGCAGACUCGAGCUGGACUUAAUGAUUUUCAUAAGAGUGACUUUGGAAAAAAUCCAAGGAGAGAAAUUUUUUAAAAGAAGCCAAAAUGGACAAAAUUGCCCUGAUUUGUUUUUGAAUUUCCUAAGAAAUCCUUUACAUUUGCAUAUCUUUAGUUUGAAAAUUGAGAGAUUUUUCUAUUCUUUUUUGAAAUUUUUUUCGCUUUUUCCAAAAGUGAAAGUUUUUUUAUGGCUAAAACCUAAAUUUACUUUUUCAUAAAUAGUUGAGUUUUGCCCCUAGUAAGGCCAACUUCAAACUGGCUUGACCCGACCCACUUGACAACUCUACUUGUGGGCAUAUCAUGAGUGUUAUGGAUGCUUGGACAUAAUUGGAAAAUUGUUUGCUACUUAUAUCGGACCAACCUUAUACUCCAGUCUUAGAUGAAGCCUGAAGGGCAAGGUAAGGUCCCUCAAACCAGGAAGGCAUCCUCUAUACAAUCUUUCUUACCAAUUCCCCUUCCCAUAAUUGGAGGAUCAACCCUCAGCCCCGAAAGCAGGCAAUAAGCUUGCUAUUUAUGAGAAUACCACGUAUAUGAUAUGAAAGCCAAUUUUAUGAAGCCUCUUACUUCGUGUAAGAAAGCCAAAUUCUAAAUCUAAGCAGCCAACAAAUUUAUUACAAGUACAACCUUGAAGCUUCGGCCAUUAGCAAGAUCAAGUUGGCUUGCUAGCCAGUGAAGGUGAACUCAAUAAAUUCCUCUCAUAGAGCUAGCUGUUAGCCUGCUACAGAGUUCACUUAGUAGAUGAGGGAAAACUUGAGCAAAUCAUAUAUCCUUGUCAAUUGUCAUUUAUCAACAUACAAAUCAGAAUUAGAACCUCAACAAAAAUAAACUGUCUAACAUCACGACUGAACUCAACAUGAAAUUUACCUCCCGUAGACAACAACCCAACUGAGGGAAUGUCAUAAAAAUUUUCUGAAAAACUAAAGAAUCUUUUCCGAACUGGUAUCGUACAGGUACCUAAAAUUCUUGUGGCUUACAACAUUCUCAUGCUUAUUCAUGUGCCUUGAUAAUGCCAUUAGACGAAAUAGUUUCUUUAGCCAACUGAAAGAUGUUUCGAGAAACAAGCUGCCCAUCUAUCUUACUAUGCCUUUACAACAGGAAUACUCUUCCAGAACUCAAGAAGGGGCCACAAUUAACCUAAUGACUCACUAAACUUAUUACUAAAAACCAAUUAGUAUAAUUUCAGAUUCGUUUCAGUAGAACCCCUUGAAAAUAAAUAAUGAAUGUAUAAGCCUGAAUUGCUCAUUAAUUAUUUCUUUUAUCUGUGAACAAGGCUGAGAAGAAAAGAGACAGAAGAAGAAAUCAUUAAGCAAAAUCUAUAAACAAGAACUAGGAGAAAAAUCAUUCAAAAAGUACAAUGAAGAGAAAGUAACAUCCCGAAAAACAGUAAUUCAUAUUCCAAAACAAAGCUUAAAGAGGGUUAAUGAAUGCAUCAAAAGCAUUGAAAACGAAAUAAUGGAGGCUUAAUUUUAAAUUUAUGAAAAAAAAAAAUAGGUUCUCCAAUUUUCCUGCUAUCCAAAUAUCUCUGACUUUGCAGGGUUGAACAUUCACAUGAAAGAUGAAAUAAUACUUUAGAAUGGGAUGAUAGCAGAACUAAGACUCCGAUCGUAUUCUUAAAAAAUAGACAUACACACUAAAUGUACAUAUUUUAUUUUAUAAAAUUUAAUACAUGGACCUGUUAAUAUACUAAAGACUUUGUGAAUCCCCAGACCUAAAUUUCUAUGCAGCCUUAAACCUCCAGGCAUGAAUAUAAAGAAAAUGAAAAAAAAACAAAAUAUAGGGGGAACAAAAGGGCUCUUUCCCAAAAUAUGUAUUUCAGGCAAGACGCUGCCGCUACAACUUGGUGUAAGAAAAAGAUAGAAAGAAACCUGCCAAGCAGUCAGCCAGCCUUUUGCUUAUUUAAGAUAAUAAGACCUCCUCAACUAGCUACAGGUAACUAAAAUAUUGAAAUAGCAAUCUCGUAUCAUAAUUUCAAAAAUAGCAAAUUAAGUAAACUUUCAAUAUAUUUGAAACAGUUUAACCAAACAAAAGAAUGUUUCCCAUAACAGAGAAUUAACACAAUUCCUCAAAAGGUCAUAAGCUAAGAGGAGUGAUCUUAACGUGAAAACUAAAAACCAUUACAUGGGGAUAGAAUAGAUUGAUGUAAGAAAAGAAAAAGAAACCAAAAAUAGAAAUGAUGGGAGGGAAUAAAGAUAAAACAAAGAUCCAAUAUCAAACUGAUAAUAACAAACAAAAAUCACAAUACAUUAAUAAGCAAAUAAUAUAUUAUAAAAAUGGGGAAAAGGGCAGGAAAUGGGGUGAAACACGAAAGAAUAGUCACUGAAAAAGAAAAAGAAACUGAACAUUAAGGUGAAACUGGAUGUUGUCAAUUCUUACAAAAUAAAGGAUGUCAAAGAUGUGAUGAAUUAAAACAUUAAAAAAAAAACAAAAAAGGAACGUCCACCAAGUUGCUAUCGAGCUUGGCCAAAUUUGAAGUAAUGGACCAUGAGAAAACUAAAAUACAAAGUCUUCCCAAAGAAAAACUUCCCGAAAAAGUGUUCAAUCCAAAGCAAGCUUUAAGAUAAAUAUUCCUUAGAGACGUGAUCAUCCUUCCUGAUGUUCAGCGACACUUACUCUGCAAACAUACAGCCCAAGAAUGUAAUGCCAAGAAACACAACAAUCUCCCUUUCAAAGAAAUUAUCAUCUCUAAAGCAUCAAAACAAUUAAAACUUUAAAUAUUUAAAAAAAAACUGAAAAAUUUGAGAAAAACAUUCAUGCUCAAAGAAGUUAAAACAUAUGUCCAAGUGAUCCCUGUUACAAAAAUUAUGAGCCAUGGCAUCAUGAUGGUAUAAAUACAAGGAUUCAGUGAACAUAAUAUUAGAUUCAAAUGGCAAAAGAAACUAAAGAGAAGGUACACAUUUAAUAUAGUAUAGUAUACCACCAAAAAGAAAAGUGGCUAGUUAAUGUUAGGGUAACCAACUGCACAAGUUUACAAAACAGAUUUCCUAAAUGAAGUUAAAGACAGUAAACACUUUAGCCCGUUUACCAAAAAAAAAAAGAAACAACCAGAAGAAAAUUGAAAAUUGAAAUGGAAAUUAUCCAGGAGUGAAUUAAAAACUUAAAAGACUUUCAAACAUUUUUAUUCAUAGAAUACAAAAUACUAAAGAUACCUUCGUUAGUUAUGAAUAUUAUAAAUAUGUGAAAAGAAAUAUUCAGAGAGAAAAUCAUUUGGGGAAAUUUGGGAAACGCUAUAAAAAAAUGUCAUGAGUCUGACCGAAUAACCCCAAACUUCUGUAUAAAUUCUGUAAUCAUUGCACUAAUAAGUAUCUGAUAUUUAAAAAACAUGUAAGAAAUUCUAAUAAAUCUGAUCAACAAAUAUUGUGCGUGCGUGCAUGUGUGUGUGCAUGAAAAGGUUGGAUUCUUAAAUACAAUGUUAUGUCAUCCUCUGAUGAAAGUACGAGGAUGAUUAUCUCAUUCAAUUUAAUGUAGGAAGAAGAGUCUUUAAGAAUCUUAAAAUCAUAUUUUACUAGAAUUAAAUUAAUCCACAAAUGAGCUCCACGUGUGAAUACACAAAUGCUUAGUUUCAUGUAAUCACAGAAGUUUACAACAAAACAGUACAUCUUAGACUGGUACAGUACUCAAAUGAAUAUAAUUUAGUCCAAAGGUUUGAUAAAAUUCAAACUCAUGAACCCAGCAGAAAAAAGUAAAAUAUAAUAAAAUAAUAGAAAUAAAGAAAGGUUCAUAAUCCAGCUGGAAGCCAGAAAAAAAAGAACCUGACACCACAUAAGUGGGAUAGGAAAUAACUAGCAACAGAAAACCAAACUUCCAAGAAAAGAACUAUCAUGGAAACUGGCGAAGAAGCAACAUGCAAAGCAGCAAGGCUUAUUGCAGAACAAAAACAGUAAACCCUUAGACUUCACAGACUUAACCGCGUGUAAAGAACAUAAACAAUAUGCCUCGGAGACUCAGAAGAAAAAUGACCUUUUGUUUACCAUAACAAACAGUUACAUCUAUUAGUUCUAGAGCCUCUUUUAUGGUAAUCUGUUCUUGGCUAACUCUCUCUAUGCUGAAAUUGAUUAAGCUCACCAAAAUCAUCUACUUUCACCCCAUAACAUAAAAUUUUAAGUACCUUAUCAGUUGGCUAUGUGCAUUCAGGUUUUGUAAAUAAAAAAUUGUUCUUCAGAGACUUAGAAGGAUGAGGCCUUUUUUCUGCAUACCAUAACAAACUGAAACAGUAAUGUCUGUUACCCAACCAUUCUAACCUGUUUUUGGCUUACUUCCUGUAUGCUGAAAUUAUUUAAGCUCACCAAAACUAUCUACUUUCAAUAGAUAACAUACAAAUUCUCAUCUUGAAAUUCACCUUUCAUAACAACCUAUGUAGAUUAUGAAACUCAUAAAAUCUCAGUGAGUUACAUGUAUACAGAAAAAUUGAUUCAGUUCCCACAAAGCAAACACCGGAUAUUUGAGAAAGAGUCAAAAUACAAGUACUUGUAACCAAAUUAGACAUUUUAAAUCCAUAUAAACCAUCGUGCACAAUUUUUUUUACCACUAAACUACCAAAAACUAAAACUGAAUAUGCAUAAAAAGCAAGAUGAAGAAACAUAUGCACGACACUAGGACAUGAGAAAUGUAAUUGCAAUACGGCAUACCACAUAUAUGAUGUAUACCCAGCGAAUGACCCACCAGCCCUCUGAGGCCUACCAGAACCCGGCUGCUGAACCUGCGUAUUUGGGUAAACGUGCUGCAGACCCUGGAGCAUAGGAAGAGACCCACUCGUCCCAUAUGCACCAAGCAAUGAGGGGUUACUCAACCCAUGAGAUCCUCCACCCAAACUGACCAACCCAUGAGACCCUCCACCUAAAUUGACCAACCCAUGAGACCCUCCACUGUACCCACCAACACCAGCACCCACCUGGCCCACUUGGCUUACCGGAAUAACACUUGGGUUCAAUGCCCCUCCCAUUAUACCCGGGUUCAAUGCUCGGGCCACCAUACCCGGGUUGGCAGACCCAGGAACAAACCCACCACCCACAUUGCCCAUUAAUCCACCGUACAAUGGGUUAAGGUUCGGAUGCUGACCGAACAAAGCCAUAUUCUGCGCUGCUGCUACAGCAGCCAGUGUCGGCUGCUGCAUUUGCCCUUGCGGGGGCGCCACAGCUGAGUUCUUGUUCUUCGAACCUUCGGCCGCCUUCUGGCAUUGCAAUUGGUGCCCUUCAAACACCUUGAAGGGUUCUUCAAGAGCCUUCUUCGCACCCUCCACAGUCUUGUACAGGAACAGAGCGAAACCCUUACAUUUUCCGGUCUGCGAAUCGAAACCCAUUGGCCCAGUUUCGAUUUCCCCAAAUUUAGCAAAAAAAAUUCUCAAUUUCUCACCAUCAACAUCAUGCGGCACGCUGCUCACGUAUAUUUUUCUCGAUGCCGAGUCCGAUUGAGCGUUAAAUGACGACGAAGAAGUCGUCGUGUUGUUGUUGGCCGGACCCACCGAGGCCAACUGACAGGAAGCGAUUCUAUUGCUGAUGUUCUUCUUAGGGUUCUUCAACGCCUUGGCGGCUCCACGGCGCGUUUUGAAGAGGACGAAGCCAUAGCCUUUUGCCUUGCCCGUGGCCUUGUCCAACACCAAAUUGCAUUCCUCGAUCUCGCCAAAGGGUUCGAAGGCAGCGACAAGGGUUUCGCGCGUGGUGUCCCAACCGAGGCCGUGGAUGAAGAUCUUUCGAUGCGAAACGUCGCCGUCUGCAGCAUCCCGAAUGCGGUUGAAGAGGGCCGAGUCCUUGGAGGCCGCUUCGACGAUGAGCUCGAUGAGCUGGUCCUUGGUGUAGGCUUGGAGUAGUUCAGGGAGGUUCUCUACGUCGGACUCGGACGAGUCUGAGUCUGAGUCCGAGACGGAACCGGAAUCGGAAUCGGAUUGGGGUUGUUUCUGGUUAGGGUUAGGGUGCUCUUCUUCUCUUUCUUCUUUUUCUUCGAAUUUUUGCUUGGGGUUUUGGGUUUUGGGUUUUUUCUCAAUGGUUUUGUCGGAUGUUUUGAUGAGCCUGCGCUUCUUCGUUUUUGUGAUCUUCGCCAUUGGAGCCACAGCCACCCACAGAGUCAGAGCAGGGAAGAGCAAAGCAGGGUUUUUUUUUGGGCUCGGAAGAAGACUGCGAACGACGUUACUGCUGUGUUGUGUGCGUUUUGAAAGGUACAAUGAAUCCCUCGGUUUUUAGAAUACAAAAGGCGUUUUGAAAGGUACAAUUAUCAGUCAAUAGGCUUCUCCAACCCAUGAGGGUUCCCCUCUAAAAAGUAACUAUUUGAGUUUGGUUCCGGAUUCAAAUUGUUUUUUCUCUCAACCUUCCGGAUUCAAAUUUUAAAUUCACAACUUUAUUAAAUUAUUUAAAAAUUAUUGAAGUCGAAUUUUUUUUUUAAACAUAACUUUUCUUCAUUCAAUUUUUUUAAAUAACUUCAUAAUUAAAUUUUUUGAACCAUUUCACCUAAAAAAAUUAAAAAUUCCACAAAUAUAAUUUGACCUAGAUUAAUUUAAAAUAUUAUUUUGACUAUUGGAUUUAAAUUUCAGCAGUUGGAUCUUUUUUUUAUCAUUAAAAUAGUUUAGAUUUAAUCUAGAUCAUUGAUUUAAGUUACAUUUAGAUUUUUUUUUUUUUACAAAAAAAAAAACCAAAUUCAUUUGUACAAGCAGACAAACAGCAACUUGACAAGUGGCUGGACAAGCAGCCAAACAGCAACAGUCCAGCAGGUUAGCUGGGGCCCACGUCAGAUGUUGUGCACAUGGGGCUGUUUAAGGUGCAGUGGGCUCCAUUGAAUAGUGUUGGGUCCAAGCAAUACUUGGACCUAGGUCCAAAUUUGGGUUUUUUUAAAUUUUGGAUCCUUCAUUUUCUUGGAUUGAGAGAGGUUUUGGGCAAUAUUUUGGGCUUAGGUCCUUGGGUUAGAGAUGGCCUUAUGGUUCGUCUUUUUGGGUUUGAGCCAGGCUCAGCCUGAUUCACAGGAUUUAGAGCUAGUUUAGCAUUGUUGUGCUAUUAAAAUAAUCAUUGUCAGAUUUGCUAUGAGAAAAAUCAGCUAUGAGAAAAGUAGUUUAGCGUUUGGUAAACUUUUUAUUAUAAGUGUUGUUUGUACAAUAAUCAGUUGUUGAGUAUUUGGUAAAUUUUUUGUGUAAAAGUGAUGUUAGCUGUGUAUAAUGACUAAAAAUGUCAUUAUGUUGAAAAGACUUUUCUGUUUAAGUGUUUGGUAAAAGGAAAAGCACUUUUACUUUAUCUUAUAUAUAUUUUUUGUAUUAAAUAUGUUUCCAUCACACUCUAAAAUGUAUUUUAAUUAUAAAAUAAAUAAAAUAUUUCAUUAAAAAUAAAUAUAUUGUCAAUAAUAUGGUCAUAACAAAAAUUAAGUUAGUCAUAAACAAACAAUCAUAUACAUUUUAAAGUAGAUAAACUCAUUAAACUUGCGGCUAUAUGAUUUCUCAAUGCCUCUAUUUCUUGUGUUACAAGACCAUCUUAUUGUUGUGCAUCAACCUAUGUCUCAAUCUCAUCACCUUGAAUACUAUUUAGGUCGUCUUCACUUUCAUCAAAAUGACAAUCACAUUUGGCAUGUCUUUUUAUAUAGUUAUGAAGUGUCAUGGUUGCAAUAACUAUUUUUACUUGUUUUGCAAAAGGAUAACUAGGCAUGUCUCCUAAAAUACUCCAUCUCUUUUUCCAUUCUCCAAAAGUGUGUUCAAUAACACUUUUAAGGGAAGAGUGUGCAUAAUUGAAUACCUCUUUAUGACCCAUCGGUUGAACACCCCUGUGAAAAUCAGGAAGAUGAUAUCUUUUGCCUUUAUAUGGUCCUUAGUAGCCUCUCAUUUGUGGGUAUCCCGUAUCUACUAGAUAAUAUUUUCCUAAAAAGAAAAUUUAAUUCAUUAUUCACAAUGUAAAAAACAUAAAUAUAAAUUAUGUGAAUUUAAAAAAAAUAGAAAUAGUACCAUUUGGAGGUUUUGGAAAAUUCAAACUUUCAUCACAUAAAGCUGAUAGAAUUAUCCUUGUGCCAUGGAUUGUGUCUUCUUGUAACACCUCGUCCCAAAAAUCACUGUACAAUUGAUUAUUUAUUGUGAAUUUAUAUUUUUGCCCUUGGAUGUAGGACACUUUAGCCACUUUUUGUUCGAGAAUGAAUUUGGGGAAUUGAGUGACACCGUUGCUUAGAGCUCGCCGAUACAAGUUCAUAGAUAGGCGGCAGGUUCAAUUCAGAGUUAAAACAAAGAAGUUAUGAUAUACAGAAGUGUAGUGGCACAACCGUAAUUUUUACGAAGUCAGAUUUUAAAAAGCUGGACAGCUUCUCUCUCACUCUUUGUCCUUCGUGAAAACAGACUGGCCACUUUGGCCGGUGUUUUCUCCUUCGUCCGGCGACGCCACAACUCACAAAACGUUCGUCUCUUCCUCCUCUUCACGUCCAUAUCCAUUUUUACCUUCGAAACUCCAAGAUUGGUCGCGAUUUUGGACUGGAACCGAGCGAAAUUCUCGUUCGUCACUCGACGAAGUUAUGCUAUUUCAGGUGAUUUCGACUGCCAAAUUCAUCGAGUGAGGUAUGAAAAUCCAUCCCUUCAUCAUGUUCUGCCUGUUUAUGUAAUUAGAUUGGAUCGAUUUUGAGGUUUUACAUAUCGAUUCUUAAACCUAUUUUUUGGCCAAUGGUUUCGACUUUGUUCCGGCUAGUUCCGGUCAAUUUUGGCGAUGGUUUAAGAACCAAAAAUGUUCCCCUAGGUGUACUUGAUCUAUUGGUAUUGGCAUUGUAUGGUGUUUUGACAAAUUUACGUCGCUGAAAAUUUCUCAAGACACCCACGAGCUGCCAGCGGUGGGUGGCAGCGGGUGGGCUACUGUGUGUGUGGCUUAUUGUGUUCUAAAUUGUUCCCUUUUGUCCUGAGUACGAUGGUAUACUCGAAUUUGAAAUUGGUUAUCAUUUGACAGUCGAACGGAUAUUGCACCUAUUAUGCAAUAUCCGGGUUCGAUAGGUUCGAACCGUUCAAUUGGUCCCAAUUUCAAAUAUGUUGUUCUCUGUACCUCUAGAAUCGUGUAGGAACUUGUUGAUCGAGAUUCAGAAUCCCAGAUACUCCUAGUCUAUGAUUCCAAGGUUAGGCGAACUAAUCAUUGUCCGAUUGGCUUAGAUUCGAUUGCUCGAUCGAGAUCAAAGUUUCGAGACUUGUUUAGUAGACUUGAUUGGACCUAUAGGAACUUUCAUAUCAGAAAUCAGAGGUCGUGGACCCCACAGGCCUAAUUGACCUAGAUGGUAGGCCUCGUUAGCCCAAUUGAGAGCUUUUCGUUAUGAGGUGUUUGUGGUCUAUUUGUUUGAGUUUAAAUUGGUAUUUUGCUAUGAGAGUUGUAUUAACUGUUUAUGAAUUAUUGUUCUAUACUGUUUAUGAAUUAUUGUUCUAUCGCUUUUAUUUUCCAAGCAUGUUAUACCUAUGUUUAUUUUUAUACAUGUGUUAAAUGGAUUAAUAAUUGGAUUGUGUUGCCUUUGGAAAUAUUAAUGUCUACGGACAUCUUGGUUGCCUUCGAAAAUGUUGUUGCCUCUGGAAAUAUUGAUGUCUUCGGACAUACAGUUGUCUUCUGAUAUAUGGUUGACUUCGGAAUAUUUUCGGACGUAUGGUUGCCUUCGGAUUGUCUUCAGACACCUUAGUAGCUUUCGGAUUUGUCUACAUGCAUAUGACAUUGCCCCACGAGUAUUGGAGACGCCCGAACAGUGUGGUGCCAUGUUACGCCCCGAUUUAAGAAUAGCGAUUAUCUCCGAAUUAAGGCUUGAAUCAUACCACAAUUAUAGAAACAAACUCCUAUAACUAUGAUAUGAUAAAAAUAGAGUCAAUAAUAUUACAAACUUAUUUAAUAAAAACAAAGUCAUAGUCGCAGUAACUCAUAGUUAGUUACACACACUAGCGUAAUAUUCCAACUAUUUAUUACAAACAGUAACUAACAACACUGAUCUAGUCCUCUAGUGGAACUUCUCAUUCCUCAGGAUUUGCAUUGGAACCUGCAUCAUCUAUUAGGGUGUGAGCAUUUUAAUGCCCAAUAAGGUACUGUAACAUCCUCCCUCAAAGCUAGCUAUCACUGCUAAUCAAAGUGGCAUGCAUUAAACAAUUACCUAAUAAAUGUGUUAUGCAUAUGCGAUGAUUUCAUGAACUCACUCCAUUCUAAACCCACUAAUUCAUACUUUAGGGCAUCAAACAUGCAUGUCCCAUACCAUGCAUUUUACCACUGUGGCUCCGAAUACCCUAAAAUAUAAAUUAGUACCCCUCUGUCCCUUACCCCAUAUAUAUUUUGUUUACGAAUUUCUCAACUUUCACUUUUCACUAGAGGCCCUACUUCCAUCACCUCAAUAUAUUCAAGCCCUACUCCUGUCAUUUGAAUAUAUUCCACAUUUUUUUAUACUCAGAUAUAUCUGAAGCCUUCUCCCACCCCUUAGAUAUACCUUAAACAACACACAAACCCAACACAACUGUAUUUAUGAUCCAUAUGUAAUGCAACUCAAACAUUCAUUAAUCUUUGCGGAAUGAUAAUAAUUCAAAUAAAAAUAAUAAUAUUUCAAAUUUAAUCACAUGGAUAGUAAUAUUCAUCCAACAUCAUAUAAUAUUCAAUAAACAUUCAUAAAACAAUAACAAUAGUAUUCACCUAACAAUACCCACCAAGCAAAACAACAAAAUAUUCAUAUUUAGUACUAUAUAUAAACAUCACGAUUAAAAGUGAUAUAGUCUAAUCAUUGGGGAAAAAGUUAGAGACCCUACCUCGUGUCCAAGAAGCUAAAAUGACAAAAUUACCCUUUGGAGGUUGCCAAGUUCUCUCCCGUUCCUAGAUUUGAAAAAAGAAAUAACAUAAAUGAGGUUAGAAUUUUUAAUUUUAUAAAAACACUUUUUCUCUUGACAUAGAGAGAGUGCACCCCACUCUCCAAGCUAAAACCCUCGAAAUGACCUGAAACCUAUACCAUCAUACUCGGAUUAAAAAAUCAAGCCGGAUUGACUAAAUAUAUGGUGUCGGAGGCUGUCGAAACAGCCGCCACUCGCUGAGUCGAGAGUGGGGUUGGCUUGCGGUUAUUGUUCAUCCUCUCCAGAAAUUCUGCAAAUUUUCCCUUUUUUUUAAGACCAAAAUCUAGAUUCUGUGAGACAUUUUUACUAACCAAAUGUUAACUAAAUUGGGAAAACUUACAAUGGUUUUGAAGCUUAAUACCUCUAGUUUCUAACACAAUAAACCACACUAAAAACGGAGCUAAAGCGAAGGAGAAAACCAGCUCCAAAGUUGGACUUGUGGCUGGUUUUCUACAGAUAACAUAUUUUUGUCCAAAUUUUGUGUUAGAUAAAAAAUGUAAUGAAGAAAUUAAAAUUCACCCAACAUAAUCUCACUCUUAUUUACAAAUAAGAGUUUUUAUUUUUAAUUGAGUAUGACCCAUUCAAGAUAAAAAUAUCUCUUAAUUAUAAUCUCUUUGGAAAGAGAAAACCCUUUGAUUCCAAUGUAAAGAGUGAAAUAAAUAAUGGAAUUUGAUGUUACGGCUGCAUCCAGGGAACUCUAGACUGCCUACAUAUACCCCAUUUUGGGGAUCAAGCCUUUUGUAGUUCUCGAGAGAAUUUGAUUGGACUUUCAAGGAAUGAAUGACUCCUUGAAAGAAUUUGUGGUAUGAGAAAUAUUUUAUGGAAUUUGGAUGAAUGUGGUUGGACCAGGGAUUCAAUUUGAUUUGUGGAUGAAAAAGUGUUUGGGCGAAUUUGGUUAAGGUGCACCAGAGAUUCUGUUUGGGCUUGAGGUUGUAUUUGGAUUGAAUUUUCAAAUUGCCUACGUAUCCUUAGUGGAAUCAAACCGGACGUAGUUCUUUGAAAAUUUGAUUGGACUUUCAAAGACUGAAUGACCCCUUGAAAGAAUUUUAUGUUUGAGAGAUUUGAAUUUGAUCUCAUCGAAAUUUGCAUGGUAGAUGACCCAUGAGAAAAUUUGGAAUGGUUUUGUACCAUUUUUUAUUGUUAAUGUCCAAAGAAAAUUAAAAGGCAUUUUAAUGAACCCAUUAAUUUACUCACAUAUGGUUUUAAAAAUUUAAGAAAAUUGAUCCAUUAACCACAUAAUUUAUUUGGACCACCCAUCAAGUAUUUUGGCUUUUGAGAGUUAAUGGGUAAUUUGUUUUGUCAACCCAUCAAUUUGUUUUCGGACCUUAACAUUUCCAUUAAUUGGCCCAUAAUAAAAAAAGUCCAGGUCAGAAAAGCUUUGAGAGCCAGCUGCAUUUGAAACCGAUAUCUAUUUGGAGUAGUAGAGAUCAAUCUAAACUGAGUCACUCCCAUCUUUAUAUGUAGUAGUUCAAAUCAAUUUAAACUGGACCAAAUUAUAUAUCUCUUCGACUACUCAUCUGCCACAAUCAAUACGGAGCCUUCGGUUUGAGACGCCAAAACCAAGGCAAGACCUUUCCUUUGCUCAUGUCUGUCAAACUUGGGCUACAUAAACCAUUAAAAUAUUAAUUGGAAGUAUUGGGAACUUAAAGGCAGACUUAGACUGCAUAACCCAUUACAAUAUUAAUUGGAAGUAUGGGAGCUUAACGGCAACAAUGUCUGUUUAUUAAAGUACAUAGGUACUUUUCCUUUUCUUUGUCCUUUUUUUUUGCUUUUUCUUCUUUGUUUUAUUUUUUUUUUGUUUCUUUCAGUAAUACGAAACUCCCUUUUUUUGUUGCUUUCUUCUUCAAUCUUGGGCAUGGGAGGAGAGCUUACUUUGAGCAAUGAGUUUCUUGAUUUUUUUUGGUCUAAAGACCAAAUUUUGGUUUGAAGAAAAGUUGCUGGCAGCAAGCUGUGCAUCCAUUUAGCUUUGGCAAGUCUUUCUUCUUCUCUCUUUGGUUUGUGUCUGUGUUUGUUGCCUUUGAACACCUGCAUGAUUUUCAUCAAGUAUGCCUAUGAACACCUUCAAGGUGCUCAUAGCACUUAAUACAAUGGGGUUCUGGCAGAAGCCCAUAUGCAUAUUUUCACAAUAGGGAGGUCCUUGCGAGGGCUCCUUCUUGUGUGAUUUCUUGAGAUUUCUCUAAUAGUAGAGACAUGGUUUCUUCAGUUAUUUUUCAAGAAUGAUGAAUUUCUUUUGCCUGCAGUAGUCUCAUGAGACUUCUUUGACAGCAGAGACAUGGACGAAUUUCGCAGCGCACAUUCUCAAAGCCUUUAUGGCAAACAGCAUUGGAAGGGGACUUUGAACUUUGAUAGGAAAUCUGUCAUCAAUUUGGUGCCCUAUGACUGUUAUUUUAAAGGUCGACUUCUGUGGGAUGCUCAGGAAACGUCAUUUACAGAGGCUUGUUUAAUUAAACUUUACAUAAGAUGUUUGAGUUUUGAGCAGCAAGGGAAUAUACUGCACAGAGAAACAUGAUGAAAUUUCCUGGCAAAAGAAAUAAACUUUAUACCUUCCCUUUCUUCUACCCUUUUCUUUGUCUUCCUCCUUAAUCAGAAUCCCAGCAGCCUCUUCGUUUUCUCUCUGGUCUUCUGCCUUCUUUCCUCCAGCAGCUUUUACUUUUGUCUCCUUUAGACUUCUCACCCCUGCUUUCUUUACUUUUUUGCCUCUGUUUCUGCCUCCCCUUUUUUCUUUGGUUCAUGUCUUUUUAUAGGCAAAUAGGUGAGUGGCAGUUGAGGGAGACUGUUUCUUCUCAGAUUGUGCCAUCGUUUUGAUAAGUGGAGUGGUGGGAGAUAAACUGCUCCAUGCACGAUCUCACCUUGACAUUCUAUUUUAUUUCUUUUAAUUUCUUUUGAGAGUGGGGCUGUAAUGGGAAUUUUUUCUUAGAGAUAAAUAUAUGGGAUUUUAUCUCUAGGCACGUCAUUUUGUUGUUGAGUUCUUCAUUUUGGGCCUCGCUUGAUUUAGAAUUGAUUUGUUAUAGCCCAAAUGCCUAUCCAAAUUAAUCUGAUAGGUAUGAAAUUUUUUAUUUCAACAUUUUGCACUAGUGUUUGACGUAUCAAACUUCAACAAAAUUCAAUGAAACCAAUUGUAUUUUGUUCCUUGCCAUGUCUAGUUUAAAUUCCAAUAAAUGACUUUCUCAAGUAAUCAAAGUAUUGGGAGAAAAAAAGAGCCAAAAUGAGGCUCGUGGGCUGAAAAUUUCUAGAAAAUUACAUUUUUCAGAUUUUGUUCUAAGUUGUUUUCAACCAUUCUAUCACCCCCAGGUUGUUCCUAAGGCUUCGUAAAACUCAAAAUGAAACCAAAAUCAUCAACACCCACAAUUGAAAAAUUGCUCUAUCCACCCAACUGAAAAUGGAAGUUCAAACUCUUCCAAUUCAAUUUCCCCAACACUCAAGUGACUCAAAUUACUCUUUAAGGGACUAAAAUCAUACAACCACAAAGUUAAAAACAAAAAAUUCGAAAUUGACUCACCUUAGAGUUUUUUUUCUUCUCUUUCUCCUAUUCUACCUUCUCUUCCUCACCCAAAUUCCAUCUCCUUCAUCCUACAAUCUUAUCUUAGUUCAAGCAAUUAUUACCCUUAGCCUAGACUAGGUGAUUCAUCUAUAAUAGGUGAACAACUCACCCUAAUUUGAGAUCAAUAUCAGAUUUUGAAGGGAAUGUAUAAGGGAAAAGGGGAAGAAUGAAGGGAAGAACAUGGUUUUGCUUACACGUUGCAAUUUUUUUUUUUAAACAUUUAAAAUCUCAUAAUUAAGGUUAAAUAAAUAAAUAAAUAUAUAUAUUUUAAAAUAAAUUUAAUAUAUAAAUUUUUUCCUAGAUGUUACAUGUCAGGAUUUGCGUUCUCAGGUUGAGUAUAUCUCCCUGAAUUAUGCGAGGGGAAUUGAUGGAUUAUUUGCGUUUCAUGUUAAGUAUAUCUCCCUACGAGGAUUUCGUUAUCAAGUUGAGUAUAUCUCCCUGAGUUUUGUGAGGAAUGCGUCACAGGCCGACCAUGUGUUCCUUAAGUUAUGAGAGGAUUGCGUCUCGGGCUGACUUUGUGUCCCUCAAGUUAUGCGAGGAUAUAUCACACAUGUGUGGUACUUGGAAUUGACGGUAUAUUAUUGAAAUUGAUGGAUUAUAUUUGAGGUACAUCUAUGUGGAGAAUACUGUAGCACCAAUGUGUGGUAUAGUUAACAAGAUAUUCUUCACCACCCUACUCAUAUUAUCUGCACAGGGUUGGCCAGGAUUCCUAUCCACCUGCCUAAUUUGUCUACACAGGUAGUUAGCUUGUUUCCCCUUCUCAUGUUGCCUUCGGAUUUGAUGGUAUUCCCAUAUACUCCUUGGUGGGUGAUUACAGUAUAUAUACACUAUGCGGAUGGUUGCAAUUAUGGCUUUCUGGUAAAAGGUUUGGUUAUGUAAGUAUUUGAAUGUACAAUGAUAAGCUAAUUGAAUAGUUAGGUACAUAAUUUCCAGGCAUGAUAUUCAAUUAUACAACUUGUUGAAAUAAAAGUAAAGAAUGAUUCUAGAUUUUAUUGUUGGUUUCUUGAACAAUAUUAUAUUAGCUGAAUUGUGAUUCAUGGUAGAAAGAACUACGUUUGGCUUGAUCCCUCAGUAAGGGUAUGUAGGCAACCUAGGCUAUAGAAGCAGCCACAAGUUUAUGAUUUGUUUGUUAUGUUCAGUUUUGUAACGUUGAUUUUGCUUACUUUAUUAUGUUGGAAAACGGGGGCCUAAAGCCCAUUAAAACUUUUGCUAAUUGAUGUGUGGUUUAUACCUUGUGCUUGCUGAACGCUUAGGAAAUAAUUGUGUUUGUUGUGCAAGUAGAUUUUUGGGUUUUGAGCCUUUUUCAGAGGAGACUCUGCCAGUUUUUAGGAUGGUCACUCGUGCCUGACACUUGCCAGGUGUUGGACACGCACUAAAGUGGAAUUUGGGUCGGGUCUUGUGACUUCCCAUCCGGCGCAUGUAAAUAUAAAUUGCAUGUAACCAUCACAUUUUGGGUAGGUAUCCCCUUUCUACCAAUAAAUGGUAUUUGAUUAUAAGGAGAUAUUGUGGCUUGAAUAUGAACAUCAUCUAUAGAACCAAUACAAUCCUACAAGUGAUAAAAAAGACAAACAUAAUAUUAAUUAUAACAAAAUAAAAUAUAGACAAAUAUUUAAGAGUAGUAGAUGCAAUAGUAUAGAAUCUUGUAGAAUUUCUUUUGGAGUGUUGUUAAACGCAUUUUCUAAUGGUUUAAUUACAUCCGCAAUUAAACGACAUACAACAUCAAGUAGGAUACUAAAAUAUAUGCUCACAGUCUCACUAGAAUGUUGAAAACAAUCUUAUGCUUGCCUAUUUGCACAACCAUGUCCUAAGAUGUUCAAGAACAUCCCUAACAUCUCUGCAUCACUCAUUCUUCUUGAACCUUUUAACCCAUAAUUGUUUUGCAAUUCAUCACACAAUUUUAUAAAUACAUCUUUUUCCAUCCUAAACAUAUUAUAGCAACGACUUUCAAUUCCUUGUAACACUUCUGUCAACCAAAUAUUUCUUGUAUGAUGGUCAUUCAUACACGGGGUCUUAUGAAUAUAUUUCACAUAAUAAAGUUCAAUAAAACGGACAGUGACGCAUAUAAUUUAGUUGAUCUCCUCCUCAUCUUCUGGAAUAGACAUGUUCUAAAAUAACAUGCAAAUGUGUUUAUUUCCUUCAAAUAUCAUUUUCACUGUGCAUGCAUGUUUAUAUAACAUAAAAUAUGACAAUAAUUAACAUAUCACUCACAAAUUCAAAUAAAUUAACAACACAACAGCAAAACAUAAAUUAAAGUCACCAAACUAUCAAAUUCUAGCAUUCAGCUAACUCAUGAUUAAGAAAUUGAAGCUUGAGGUCAGGAUCUUCCAUGACAACAAACAUCUCUAUCUUAUCUUGAGCACAAAACAACUUAGUUGCAAACCACCACAACUUGCUACCACACUCUGUCCCAGGUAAAGUUGCAACAUCAUUCAUCACUUCAGCAAUACUAGUUCCUUGUGAAACUGUAUUAGCCAUUGAUGUUCCAGUACUCAUACUCUUAACCACCUUAACAAGACGUUCAAUUGCAAUGAUAAUUUUGCAACACCUCUCAUUUUCUCCCAUAAUUUACCUUUCUUCUAAUUAUUAUCUUGAAUUUCAAGUGAUUGAUUAGUUCUCUUUCUUGGCACAUUGUUUGUAGUUUGAGUGGUUUCAAUUGGUAAUUCGAAUCAUCGUUAACUUCAAGUGGAUUGACAUAAUCAUCACUUUAAAUUAGAAGUACACCAAAUAAAGGUGCCCAAGAAUGCUUACCAGUGGUUGUGACGUUCAAAAACAUCAUAUCUAACUUCUCCUCCAUCUCAGGACUAAUACCCUCAAGUUGGAAUAUUGCAUAUUUGGAUUAUGCUUGCAUUAUGACACAUACAAAUAUUAUAAUGAAUUUUUAAACAUAGUUAUAAAAAAAAAAAAAGGAUUAAUUUUUCUCCCCCAUUACCACCACUUGCACCACCUCUCCCUUGCAACCUCCACCUCCACCCUCCCCACAACCCCGACUUCCACCAAGCCACCUCUCCCAUCACCGCAACUCUCCCUCGCAUCCCCCACCCUCCCUACACCAAGCCACCCCUCCCUCCACCACAACUCUCUCUCUCUCUCUCUCUCUCUCUCUCUCUCUCUCUCUCGCUCUCUCUCUCUCUCUCUCUCUCCAGCACCCACAAUUUCGAGCCCACCAUUAUUCCCUAACCCAAAAAAUCAGAAAAACAAAGGCACACUUUUAAUUCCAAUUCCAAUCCGAUCAAACCCCAAAACUCACCCAAAAGAAAAAAAAUUGUAUUUUCAGGAGCUGAGACUUUAGAAAAAAUGUCGGAGAUGGCAAAGAAAGUCCCUUCUCACCCACCCGCUCCCACAUCCCCACGCUCCCUUCUCUGCCGCCCUCAAUCCCUUCUCACGUGUCGACUUCGCCGCCAAUAUCUGGAUCUGCCCUUUCAGCAACUAUCGCAAUUACUUCCUGCGUGUCGACAUUACCGUGAUCAUUCUAUACAUCAAAAAAUGAAAUUUGUCAGUAACAAGAAGCUCCAUUUAGAACUGAAGAACAACCAAACUUACUAUUAAUGAAGUAGGUACUACUAAUAUUCAUUCUUGAGCAAAUGUAAUAAAAAAAAUAUAAAAAAUAUAAAUAAAAAAAAAGGAGUGAGAAAGGCAUAGAUUAAAUAACAACAUUUUUAAUUAGCAGAAUGCUGAAAAUAUAACAUGUGCAUAAAUACAAUUUUGUCAAAUGGAAGGAAAAGCGCAGUACUAGCUUGCAUGGUGGAAAAAAAAAUAUUUUAAAAUAGAAACAAAAGAAGAAAAUGAUAAUUUAUUCAUAACCCAUCUACACUUCCAAUAUGAAUGAACAUCCAUGGAAACUUUAGAAGCUAUUCACCUUUGGCACAAUCCUAUUAACAGCGUCAGGUUGAUCCAAGGGUUCAAGUUGCCACUUGCCAUAAAGUUCGAUAGUUCAUUUUGAAUUGCCCCCAACAUUAUUAUCAGAUUUAGGGUCCUGUACUUUGUGGGUUCUACCCUCAGUACAUAACCCUCCAGUAUGUCGUGUCGGUCGAUUCAGCUACCCCUCAAUCUUUGCCAUCGUCGAUCUUCGUCUUCGUGCUCAACACAUGUAUGAUCGAGGAGAAGAGAGUAAUUUUGGGUGUUGGAGGUGAGAGAGAGAGAGAGAAGAAGA